AACACCAUGACCUCUCUAAUGAUGCGCGAGUAGUUCACCAUAGAGCUACGGGUCCAUAGCUAGUAGCUAGAUGGCUUCUUCUCUCUCUUGGAUNNNNNNNNNNCGAUGAUGCGUGAGUAGUUCACCAUAGACCUACGGGUCCAUAGCUAGUAGCUAGAUGGCUUCUUCUCUCUCUUGGAUCUUCAAUACAAAGUUCUCCAUGAUCUUCAUGGAGAUCUAUCCGAUGUAAUCCUCUUUGGCGGUGUGUUUGUCGAGAUCCGAUGAAUUAUGGAUUUGUGAUCAGAUUAUCUAUGAAUUAUAUUUGAGUCUUUGCUGAUUUCNNNNNNNNNNNNNNNNNNNNNNNNNNNNNNNNNNNNNNNNNNNNNNNNNNNNNNNNNNNNNNNNNNNNNNNNNNNNNNNNNNNNNNNNNNNNNNNNNNNNAAAUAUCUGCAAGGACUGAAAUUAUCGGUAACAAGUGAUUGUGUUGUGAGAUGAUUCGUAGCAAGCAACGAGUAACCAAAGUAGAAACGGUGCAGCAAAGUGGCCCAAUCCCUUUUGUAGCAAGGGACAAGCCUGGACAAAGUCUUAUAGGAGAAAAAACGCUCCCGAGGACACACGGGAAUUUCUGUCAUGCUAGUUUUCANNNNNNNNNNACGUUCAUUACUUUGAUAGUUUGAUGUGUGGGUGGACCAGCGCUUGGGUACUGCCCUUACUUGGACAAGCAUCCCACUAAUGAUUAACCCCUCUCGCAAGCAUCCGCAACUACAAAAGAAGAAUUAAGUAAAGUUUAACCAUAGCAUUAAACUAGUGGAUCCAAAUCAGCCCCUUACGAAGCANNNNNNNNNNUUUGAUAUGUGGGUGGACCGGCGCUUGGGUACUGCCCUUACUUGGACAAGCAUCCCACUUAUGAUUAACCCCUCUCGCAAGCAUCCGCAACUACAAAAGGAGAAUUAAGACAAAGUCUAACCAUAGCAUUAAACUAGUGGAUCCAAAUCAGCCCCUUACGAAGCANNNNNNNNNNACUACUUCCCAAUUCCUUCCUCUAGGCCCAAAUAAUAGUGAAGUGUUAUGUAGUCGACGUUCACAUAACACCACUAGAGGAAAAACAACAUACAACACAUCAAAAUACCGAACGAAUACCAAAUUCACAUGACUACUAUUAGCAUGACUUAUCCCAUGUCCUCGGGAAUAAAAGUAACUACUCACAAAGCAUAACCAUAUUCUUGACCAGAGAGGUAAUGAGUAGCAUCAAGGAUCUGAACAUAAACUCCUNNNNNNNNNNUCAUGUCCUCGGGAACAAAAGUAACUACUCACAAAGCAUAAUCGUAUUCAUGACCAGAGAGGUAAUGAGUAGCAUCAAGGAUCUGAACAUAAACUCCUCCUCCAAGUAAUCCAACUAGCAUCAACGACAAAGAGUAAUCAAUACUAUUAGCAACCUUACAAGUACCAAUCGGAGUCGCGAGACGGAGAUUGGUUACAAGUGAUGAACUAGGGUUUGGAGAUGAGAUGGCGCCGAUGAAGAUGUUGAUGGUGACGAGUGACGAUGGCGACGAUUUCCCCCUCCGGCAGGAUCGUCUUGCCGGAGCUCUAGAUUGGUUCUGCUCAAGUUCCGCCUCGUGGCGGCGGCGAAUCCACGAAAAAGCUCCUCCCUUAUNNNNNNNNNNCUGAUGAAGAUGUUGAUGGUGACGAGUCCCCUCCGAUGAGAGGAGUGUUGGUGAUCACGAUGGCGACGAUUUCCCCCUCCGGGAGGGAAGUUUCCCCGGCAGGAUCGUCCUGUCAGAGCUCUAGAUUGGUUCUGCUCAUGUUCCGCCUCGUGGCGGCGGCGAAUCCACGAAAAAGCUCCUCCCUUAUUUAUUUUUCUGGACGAAACCCUUCAUAUAGCAGAAGAGGGGGCCAGUGGGCCAACAGGCUGCCCACAAGCCCCCUUGGCGCGGCCUAGGGGGUGGCCGCAUCGUGCAGGCUUGUGGCCACCUCGUGGCGCCCCUCGGGCGCUUCUUCGGCCCAGUAUUUUUUAUAAAUUGUGAAAAAAAUCCUCGUUGAUUUUUACGGCGUUUUGAGUUGCGCAGAAUAGGUAUCUCAACUUUGCUCCUUUUUCAGGCCAGAAUUCCAGCUGCCGGCAUUCUCCCUCUUCAUGUAAACCUUGCAAAAUAAGACAGAAAAGGCAUAAGUAUUGUACCGUGAAGUGAAAUAACAGCCCAAUAAACGAUAAAUAUCAACAUGAAAACAUGAUGCAAAAUGGACGUAUCAACUCCCCCAAACUUAGACCUCGCUUGUCCUCAAGCGAAAGCCUAGCUCAAUAAAUAUGUCCACAUGUUUAGGGAGAGAGGUGUCGACAAAACAAGAUACGAACAUGCAUUCAUCAUGAUCAUGAUCAGAACAGCAAUACCAACAUGUAGUCUCUCAUGCUAAAGUGAUAAUUCCUUCACAAAGUAAAGCAUGGAUCAAGAACCUUACCGAGAAGUAACAACCAAUAGCCUUUCGUCAAUGAAGCAAUUGCAAUUUAUCACAACAUCAGAAAGAGUCAAAUAAGAGCUUGUAAAGAAAAUCCACAUACUCAAUCAUUCUUUCAUUCUCUACAAUUGCUACAACUCACGUGGUACUCAUGAGAUCAAAGUUUCAGCUGGACACGGAGAAAGAUAGGGGCUUACAGUUUUGCCUCCCAACUACUUACCUCAAGGGUAAUGUCAACAAUAAUAAUUCAUGAAUACUUACUUCCAAUUUGACAUAUGAAGAUAGAUCUUUCCCAAGCAUAUGACGUUAGCCAAGAUAAAGGCGAAAUAGGGAAUUGGUGAAGAUCACCAUGACUCUUUCAAGAGCAAAAAGUAAAGGUACAAGAUAGGCCCUUUGCAGAGGGAAGCAGAGGUUGUCAUACACUUUUGAGGUUUGGAUGCGUGUCCUCUUAGUGCGGAGGAACGUCACUUUAUAUUGCCGCCUGUGAUAAAUAACUUUAUUAUGCAGUCUGUUGCUUUUAUGUCUUCCUCAUCACAGGUUCGUAUAAAACUUAUUUUCCACACACUAAUAGAUCAUACAUAUUAGAGAGCAAUUUUUAUUGCUUGCACCGAUGACAACUUACUUGAGGGAUCUUAUUCAAUCCAUAGGUAGGUAUGGUGGACACUCAUGGCAAAACUGAGUUGAUGGUUUAUGGAUUCACAAGUAGUAUCUCUACUUAGUGCGGGAGGUUUGGCUAAUGUGAGGUGGAAGCAAUCGUCACAUGCUAAGGGAUCUCUAAUCGUAUAACAUUGUUCGGAGCCAAGCAAACACAAUUCAUUAUGUUGUCUUCCUUGUCCAACAUCUACUUCUAGGCAUGCAAUAGUUUAGUGAGUGUUCACAAUCAUAGAUGGUGUCAGAGAUGAUAUAUUUAUAUGUGAACAUCUCCUUCUUUAUCACUUCCUAUUAUUUGCAACCAUGACCAAGGUCUACGUUUUCCUACCCUCAACAAGUUUCAAUCCUCAUUCUUUUUAUAUGUGAAGCCANNNNNNNNNNNNNNNNNNNNNNNNNNNNNNNNNNNNNNNNNNNNNNNNNNNNNNNNNNNNNNNNNNNNNNNNNNNNNNNNNNNNNNNNNNNNNNNNNNNNGGGAGGGGGCGAGCCAGGGAUGGGCCGGGCCAGGCUUAGGCGACAAGUAAGGGUUUUCCCAUUUUUUUCUGUUUUUCUUUUUCUGUUUUGCUAACUAAUGUUUUGCUAAUUAUUUCAGCUCCAAAACAAAAAGUAAAAACUAUUUUACACCUCCUGAAAUAUUGUUAUAACAUUCCCAACCAUUUCCAAAGUUUUCAACAUUUUUGGAAAUUUAUAGAUUCUGAUUUCAAAUUUAAAACUUGAAACCAGUAGCCUUUUGCAUUUAUUUAAAAUGCUUAAAGUGUCAAGAAAAUAGUUUUCUCCAAUGCUCAUUUACUUUCAUGAUUUAUCAGAAAGUUUGAACAUUUCUUGAGGCCAUUUGGGUUCAUUGAUUUGAACUAGUUUGAGAUUUUCUUUAAUUGAAAUAGUGGCUAGGGUUUUGAGUUUUUCCUUUGCCACUUUGUUGUUUUUGUUGAAACUUCUUAGAUGCAAAUGCAAAGAAGACAUGAGCACAAGGCUAUCUUUCUUAAGGGUUAGGGAUGUGACAACUAUCAUCAUUACCUCGUAUCUUUUGGCACCAAUAUCAUGAACAUGUGUAACACUAUGAUCGAGAUUCAAUAAACCAUUGAAGGUGAUUAUUCAAGCAAAAUAGAGUAACAAUAAUUCUCUUUAAAUGAAUAAUUGUAUUGCAAUAAACACGAUCCAAUCAUGUUCAUGCUUAACGCAAGCACCAAAUAACAAUUAUCUAGGUUUAACACCAAUCCCGAUGGUAGAGGGAGUGUGCGACGUUUGAUCAUAUCAACCUUGGAAACACUUCCAACACGUAUCGUCACCUCGCCUUUAGCUAGUCUCCGUUUAUGCCGUAGCUUUCAUUUCGUGUUACUAAUCACUUAGCAACCGAACCGGUAUCCAAUACCCUCAUGCUACUAGGAGUACUAGUAAAGUACACAUCAACAUCAUGUAUAUCAAAUAUACUUCUUUCAACUUUUUCCAACCUUCUUAUCUACCAAGUAUCUAGAGUUGCUCUGCCUCAGUGACCGUUCCCCUCAUAACAGAAGCACUUAGUCCCGGGCUUGGGUUUAAUCCGAGGUCUCUUCAUUAGUGCAGCUACUGCUUUGCCGUUUCACGAAGUAUCCCUUCUAGCCCUUGCCUUUAUCGAAACUUAGUGGUUUUACUAACCAUCAACUAUUGAUCCUCCUUCUUGAUUUCUACUUUCGCAGUGUCAAACAUCGCGAAUCGCUCAAGGAUCAUUGUAUCUAUCCUUGAUAUGUUAUAGUUCAUCACGAAGCUCUCACAACUUGGUGACAGUGAUUUUGGAGAACCAUCACUAUCUCAUCUGGAAGAUUAACUCCCACUUGAUUCAAGCGAUUGUCGUACUCAGAUAAUCUGAGCAUACGCUCAACGAUUGAGAUUUUCUCCUUUACUUCGUGGACAAAGAAUCUUGUCGGAGGUCUCAUACCUCUUAACAAGGGCACAAGCAUGAAAUCACAAUUUCAUCUCUUUAGAACAUCUCUUAUGUUCCGUGACGUUUCAAAACGUCUUCGGCGCCUUGCUUCUAAGCCAUUAAGUAUUUUGCACUGAACUAUCGUGUAGUCAUCAGAAACGUGUAUGUCGGAUGUUCACAACAUCUACAGACGACGCUCGAGGUGUAGCACACCGAGUGGUGCAUUAAGGACAUAAGCCUUCUGCGCAGCAACGAGGACAAUCCUCGGUUUUACAGACUCAGACUGCAAAGUUUGCUACUAUCAACUUUCAACUAAAAUUUCUCUAGGAACAUAUAAAAACAGUAGAGCUAUAGCGCAAGCUACAUCGUAAUUCGCAAAGACCAUUAGACUAUGUUCAUGACAAUUAGUUCAAUUAAUCAUAUUACUUGAGAACUCCCACUCAAAAAGUACAUCUCUCUAGUCAUUUGAGUGGUACAUGAUCCAAAUCCACUAUCUCAAGUCCGAUCAUCACGUGAGUCGAGAAUAGUUUCAGUGGUAAGCAUCUCUAUGCUAAUCAUAUCAACUAUACGAUUCAUGCUCGACCUUUCGGUCUCAUGUGUUCCGAGUCCAUGUCUGCACAUGCUAGGCUCGUCAAGCUUAACCCGAGUGUUCCGCGUGUGCAACUGUUUUGCAGCUGUUGUAUGUGAACGUUGAGUCUAUCACACCCGAUCAUCAUGUGGUGUCUCGAAACGUAGAACUGUCGCAACGGUGCACAGUCGGGGAGAACACAAUUUCGUCUUGAAAUUUUAGUGAGAGAUCACCUCAUAAUGCUACCGUCGUUCUAAGCAAGAUAAGGUGCAUAAAGGAUUAACAUCACAUGCAAUUCAUAAGUGACAUGAUAUGGCCAUCAUCAUGUGCUUCUUGAUCUCCAUCACCAAAGCACCGGCACGAUCUUCUUGUCACCGGCGUCACACCAUGAUCUCCAUCAUCAUGAUCUCCAUCAACAUGUCGCCAUCGGGGUUGUCGUGCUACUCAUGCUAUUACUACUAAAGCUACGUCCUAGCAAUAUAGUAAACACAUCUGCAAGCACAAAUGUUAGUUUAAAGACAAUCCUAUGGCUCCUGCCGGUUGCCGUACCAUCGACGUGCAAGUCGAUAUUAUCUAUUACAACAUGAUCAUCUCAUACAUCCAAUAUAUCACAUCACAUCGUUGGCCAUAUCACAUCACAAGCAUACCCUGCAAAAACAAGUUAGACGUCCUCUAAUUUUGUUGUUGCAUGUUUUACGUGGUGACCAUGGGUAUCUAGUAGGAUCGCAUCUUACUUACGCAAACACCACAACGGAUAUAUAUGAAUUGCUAUUUAACCUUAUACAAGGACCUCCUCGGUCAAAUCCGAUUCAACUAAAGUUGGAGAAACUGAGACUUGCCAGUCAUCUUUGAGCAAAGAGGAUUACUCGUAGCGAUGAAACCAGUCUCUCGUAAGCGUACGAGUAAUGUCGGUCCAAGCCGCUUCAAUCCAACAAUACCGCGGAAUCAAGAAAAGACUAAGGAGGGCAGCAAAACGCACAUCACCUCCCAGAUAAACUUUUGUGUUCUACUCGAGCUCCGUAGAAAAGACUACGGAGGUUGGUGGUGAUAUGAUCUCGGCAGGGCUCCGCCCGAGCUCCGCAGAAACGUGAUCUAGAGGAAAAACCGUGGAGGUAUGUGGUCGGGUUGCCGUGGAAAAGUCGUCUCAAAUCAGCCCUAAAACCUCCGUAUAUAUAGGUGGGAGAGGGGGGGCCUUGCCUUGAGGCUCAAGGAGCCUCAAGGUGGUCGGCCGAGCCAAGGGGGGAAGUCCUCCCCUUCCAAACGGAAUCCAACUAGGUUUGGAAGGUGGAGUCCUUCUCUCCUUUCCCACCUCCUCUUUUUUUUCUUUCUCUUUGAUUUCUUAUCCUUUGGCGCAUAGGGCCUUCUUGGGCUGUCCCACCAGCCCACUAAGGGCUGGUGCGCCACCCCCAAGGCCUAUGGGCUUCCCCGGGGUGGGUUGCCCCCCUGAAAAGACCUCGAUGACGCCUAGAGGGGGGUGAAUAGGCUAUUUAAAAACUUCUUCGGAUUUGGCUUGAAACUAAUGCGGAAAUAAACUAAGAGGGUACUUGUCAAGCACAAAUCCUAAAUGCACUAGGCACUGCAACGUGUAUCAACAACACGAUCUACUAAGAUGGACACAAUGCAGUUACGAACAAGCACAAGUAAGCUACACAAACUUACUUGAGCUAUAUCACACGACAAGUAGGUGAACAACACAAGAUACUAGAUCACACUAUAUCACACGAUAUAUCAAGGGGUGCAAGUAUGUACGUGUGAAUAUAGAGGGUAUGCUUGAAUGGUUAAUCUUGUACAAGAAAUGGCCAACACAAUAUAAUGAUCACAAGCAAUAUGCAAUGUAUGUAUGCUCAAAUAACACAAGCAAACCACAAGUAAGGAGUUAGGGUUAAGGAUAACCAAGGUCACUGAGACGAAGAUGUAUCCCGAUGUUCACUUCCUUGGAGGGAAGCUAGUCACCGUUAGAGAGGUGGAUGUUACCACGAAGGCACACCAACGCCACGAAGGCUCACCCUAUUCUCCCUUUGAGAUAACACCACGAAGGUGUUUCUCAACCACUAGUGGUAAGCCUUUGAGGUGGCUUCCAAACCCUCACAAACAUUUCCGAGGGAAAUCACACGGAUUGAUUCCUCUCCGAAGAACUCCUACCGCCUAGGAGUCUCCAACCUCCAAGAGUAACAAGAUCAACGGGGAAUGCUCAAAACUUGCUCAAAUCACAAAUAGCUUGGGUUGAGAGAAGGAGAGGGAGAAGAUCUAUCUUUUGAUUGGAACAACUCUCAAAGGGGCUCACAAAUGCUCUUGGGAUCUAAGAUUUGGAGUGAGCAAAUGUGUGUGAGGUGGAAAUGUGUUCUUAUGAGGAUGAGGCUAUGUUGGGCAACCCUCUCACGAAGUGGGAGGGGGGUAUUUAUAGUGUGGAGAGAAAAAGAGCCGUUGGGGACACUUUAAGUCACACAGGGUCCAGACGUCCGACAGUUGUCGGAAGUCCGGGCGUCCGUGAGGGGCCGGACGUCCGACAGGGGUCGGACGUCCGAGACUUUUAGGCAUGACUGGAACUCUUCUCAAUUCAUCAGCGGUCGGACGUCCGAAGGGGGUCGGUCGUCCGAGGCCUGUAGAUGUGCCUGAACAUAUUUGAAUUCAUCAGCAUACGGACGUCCGGGGUGGCCCGGAAGUCCGUGUUAUACAACUCAACUUCUACUGGUGGUAGGUUCCGGAUUUCCGACGGGUGUCGGACGUCCGGCGCUCGGACGUCCGGAGGGAGCCAGAAAUCCGAGUUAUAGAGGACAUGUUCUUCUGGUGCAAGGCUUCGGAUUUCCGAAGCCUGUCGGUCGUCCGAGCCUUGACCGGCCCUCGGACGUCCGGAGGGAGCCGGAAGUCCGAGUUAUAUGGCUCAAGUUUCUCUAGUGCAUAGUUCCGGAAUUCCGAAGCUGGUCGGCUAUCCGGGCCUCGGACGUCCGGAGAGAACCGGAAGUCCGAGUUAUUUGGCUCUGAUUUCUCUGGUAUAGGAUUCCGGAUUUCCGAAGCUGUCGGUCGUCCGGCCCUCGGACGUCCGGAGGAGGCCGGAUGUCCGAGGCACUGGUUCUGUUUUCAGAUAACAGCAGAGCAGUGGAGAUGAGGUCUGAACAGAAAGUGAAGAUGUAGUUUGAGCAAGUUCAUCGCAAAACCUGUGAUUCCCUCUUAAUAGUGCGGGAUCCCUAAGGACUCAAGAAUCAUAAAAGAGUACUGAUGAUCCAUACUUGAGUGUAUACUUUUAUUCGCUGAUCAUCACUCCGCAGAACUAACGUCAAAGGAACUGAUACCUUUGAGUUAGCCCUUUCACCUGAGCUAGAUGUUGUUGUUCCUUCUUGGCUCAAGUUGAAAGCAAGACAUGAUGAAGUCUUCAAGUAGCUUUCCCAUACACAAUGCGGAAAGCCUAGCUUAUGUAUUCAUCUUCAUUUGUCCACCAUGUGAACAUCCACAAGAAUCAAGCAUGAAGUUCUCAAGAAUGCUUAUCUUGAUCUUGUCCUGUCCACCAUGUGAACAUCCACAAGAAUCAAGCAUGUAGUGCUCGGGAAUGCUUAUCUUGAUUUUGUCCUUGUUAGCACAUGAGGUUGUCCUUGUCAACACAUGAUCAUUGACAAUGGUUUCAAUGAUAUAUUCGUGAUGAUCCGCUUGAACUUGCACACCACAAUCUUGAUGACGAUCACCACUUGACGUCAUCCUUCAUGGGUUGUAUGAGAUCUUCCUUUUGACGCAAGCCCAAUGGAAACACACCUAACCCCUACAUAGGAGUCUCACAAAGACCAUGGGUUAGUACACAAACACGUAAUGGACAAUGCUUACCAUACCAUGGGAUCACUUGAUCCCUCUCGGUACAUCUUAUACGCUUUGUGUGUUGAUCAUCUUGAUUUACUCUUUGUCUGAGAUCUUGAUCAACCCAGUGUUUCUAUGACCAUUCUUUGGAUAAUAACUUGAGUAACAUCUUGGUCAACAAAUAAACUCCUUCAACCCAAAAGAUGGACUUCAAGAAGUGCCUAUGGACAAGUCCUAUAAAUAUAACUUAAAGCAACCGUUAGUCCAUAGGAGUUGUCAUCAUUUACCAAAACCACAUAUGGAGAAUAUGCUCUAACACCCCCCCCCCCGCACACACCCCCCGGUGAACACCCGGAACCCAUUCGUCAUUCCCAGUACAUUCCCGGUAACUCCGAAAACCUUACGGUAAUCAAAUGAGGUCAUCCUAUAUAUCAAUCUUCGUUUCCGGACCAUUCCGGAAACCCUUGUGACGUCCAUGAUCUCAUUCGGGACUCCGAACAACAUUCGGAGAUACCUGUACAGCAUCUUUAUAGUCACCCAGUUACGUUGCGACGUUUGAUACACACAAAGCAUUCCUCCGGUGUCAGUGAGUUAUAUGACUCAUGGUCAUAGGAACAAAUACUUGACACGCAGAAAACAGUAGCCACAAAAUGACACGAUCAACAUGCUACGUCUAUUAGUUUGGGUCUAGUCCAUCACGUGAUUCUUCUAAUGACGUGAUCCAGUUAUCAAGCAACAACACCUUGUAUAUAAUCAGAAGACCCUGACUAUCUUUGAUCAACUGGCUAGCCAACUAGAGGCUUGCUAGGGACAAUGUUUUGUCUAAGUAUCCACACAUGUAUAUAAGUCUUCAUUCAAUACAAUUAUAGCAUGGAUAAUAAACGAUUAUCAUGAACAAAGAAAUAUAAUAAUAACUAAUUUAUUAUUGCCUCUAGGGCAUAUUUCCAACAGUUCCAAGUAGUUUUAGCGCGUAAUACAGUCUCUAGGCACUAGUAGGAGUAGUUGCUACAAGUUGGGUUAAUCUUCAUUCACUUUUCUUUCGAAGUCUCUAAAAAUUUCAGAAUUUUUUAGAGCUAGAAAAGGGAAAAGAUGAGGAGGUUCUUGAGAGGCUCUUCAAGCCGUAACCACAAGGAGGAUGAGGAGAACCACCCCAAGUACGUAGUCCCUCGAGUCACAGAAGUUCGAGCGUGCGAGUGGCCAAGUGAUGAAUUUUUGCGCGCUGGCGGACUUUAUGAAGACUUUUAUUACUUGGUGGAGAACACAGGUCUUACUGCGUUCGUUGAAGAUAAGUGCCCACAAUAUCUCCUCCUCACCAAUAUUUUUGUUCAAAGCUACAACUUUUAUCCGAGGAAGAAUCCUCCCAUGGUAGAGUUCAUGAUAUACGAUGUCCCCCAGUGCAUGACGCUGCAGGAUUUUUGCAAUGUAUGCAAAUUACCUUAUGUUGGGGAUAUCCGUGACCCUCAUCCACGGGACUUGGAGGAUUUCAUUGGUUCUAUUGUUGUUGAAGAGGAGAGAGGAGUGUCUCGCACUAGAAUUGCUAGCAUACAUUUUCUUGUGCUUCGGUACUUCUCACUAUUUGUGGGAAAAUGUUUGAUUGGCCGUGGGGAGUCUGGAUCACAUAGUUCUCCAGACCUUGCGUUUCUGCACGAAGGCCUUUAUAGCGAUAAGACUUAUAGCUUGGGCGCUAUAGUCGCUCAACGGUUGAACCUGGACCAUUCCAAGGGUGUUGUCUAUGGAGGUAUCUAUGCUACCCGUCUUGCCAGACAUAUUGAGAUACCCAUUAUGACUUUGGGUAUCGCCAGGACCCACCAUGGCAGUAGACGAAGCUAGGCCAAAAGCCUAAGCUUGGGAGAGUACGUGUUCUCGCCGACUUUACAUUCAUGCUUAUGCUUUUGCUUUGUUAGCCGGUGUUUACACUUUGCCACUGUAUUAUCCAUGCUAGUUUCUUUUUGUUUUCUUGUUUUCUUGUUUUGUUUCCUUUUGAGAAAACCCAAAAAGAUUUUUCUUUCUUCUUUUGCUUGUUGGGAGCUUUCCCGUGUAAAUAGUUUUCUUUUUCUUUGUGUCAAGGUAGAAGAUAUUGGUUACAAUGCUUAGUGGUUCUUACAUGCUUACUUGUUUAGCUUUCAAAGAGCCAUAUUAUUUUGUCUUAUCCUUUGUGUUUGCCUGCAGAUUCAGCUUAGUCCAAUGCGCUUAUUAUCGUUUUCAUCGUUCGAUCAUGCAAAUGAAAGGCAACAAUGAUGAUAUAUGAUGAAGUGACUGAGACUGAAAAGCUGGUAUGAACUCUAUGUAUUUUGUUUUUAUAAUAUGACUAGCUUGUCGACCCAGAUUUAGCUUUAUUGUGAGAGAACCAUGUUUGCAAUGACAACUUAGAGAUCAUAGUUUCUGAUGCCAUGCUUAUUUAGUUGAGAGCUUAUAAUGGUUUGUCUUGAUUGCCAAUAUAGAUUUUGAGAUGACUAUGAUGUAGUAUGAUAGGAUGGUAUUCUCCUUUGAAUGUUUCAAGUGUCUUGACUUGGCGCAUGUUCAUGCAUGUAGUUGAAACAAAAUCAACAUAGCCUCUAUGAUGUUCAUGUUCACGGUGAUUUAUAUCCUGUUCAUGCUUGCAUUCGAUGUUAGUCAAACUCAUUGCAUCUUGAUGAGUGUUGUCGCUCUAUAGUUGGUCGCUUCCCAGUCUUUUGCUAGCCUUCACUAGUACUAAGCGGGAUUACUGCUUGUGCAUCCACUUCCAUAAAUCCAAAAGUUUUUCCAUGAGAGUCCACCAUACCUACCUAUUUGCGGUAUCUACCUGCCGUUCCAAGUAAAUUUGCAUGUGCCAUUCUCUAAACUUUCAAGAAAUAAAUCUAUUUUGCAUGCCCGAACCGCUCAUGUGGUGACAGAGGGCUAUUGGUAUCUUCCAUGCUAGGAGUGUUAUCCUCGACAUGUGUUUAUUCACAGUCAUUCACGAGAAAGGGGCUGGUAUUUGGGAUGCCCAGUUCCAUGCUUAAAUCGAAAACAUAACUAUAAAACAAGACUCCCCCCGGAUUGAUGUUAGUAUGAACGGUACCCGAGGAUUCGGCUAGCCGUGGAGUGUGAUUGAUUGGUUGUGGGGGGUUAAAACUUUACUUUUCUGUUUGGGAACCGCCUAUAGCAUGAGUAGCAUGGAAGAUAUUGAGAACUCUUGGUCAUUGCGUUGACAAUGAAAGCAUGCCACCCAAAAUUAUUAUCUCUGUUUUCAAAGCUUGAGCUCUGGCACCUCUGCAAAUCAACGCUUCCCUCUACGAAGGGCCUGUCUAUUUGUUUUCCUGUCGAGUCAUCCUCCUCUUAUAUAAGCAUCAAUUAGAGAGCACCUCUGUCAUUUUUAUGCUUUGCUUUUGAUUGAUAUUGAGUAUGACUAUGACUGGAUCUUCGUUGCUAUGAAUUACAAUGUUUAGUCAGCCCUUGAUCUUUGAAAGUGCUCUGCAUUUCUGUUUUGCGGUCUCAGAAAGAGCUAGCGAGAUACCACCUAUUCAUAUUGCUCCAUGUUUGUUUUGAUUGAAGUGUUGGUAUUUGAAACUCAUUAUUACUUGCUCGUUAGCUGAUUAUGCCAUUGAUAUUAGUUUACCGUGAGACCUUUGUGUCAUUUCCUUAUGUGGUUAACUUGUGAUCUUGCUGAAAUUCUGGUUAUGAGUUAGACAUAGUUGCAACAACAAGAUCAAACAGAGUUUGUCAAAGUUUUUCUUUCUCUCUCAGUUUGUCAACUGAGUUGCUUGAGGACAAGCAAGGUUUUAAGCUUGGGGAAUUUGAUAUGUCUCCAACGUAUCUACUUUUCCAAACUCUUUUGCCCUUGUUUUGGACUAUAAUUUGCAUGAUUUGAAUGGAACUAACCUGGAUUGACGCUGUUUUCAGCUGAAUUGCCUUGGUGUUAUUUUUGUGCAGAAAUCAAAGUUCUCCAAACGUCCUGAAAAUUUACAGGGAGCAGUUUUGGAAAGUAUCAAAAAUAUCUGCGCCAAGUUCCACCUCAGGGGGUGGGCCAGUGGGCCACAAGCCCCUGCUCCGCCACCACCCCCCUGGUGGCGGUGGCAGGCUUGUGAGGCCCACAGGCACCGGCCGCCUCCAACUCCAGCUCUAUAAGUUGUCUUUCGUCCCAGAAAAAUAAAAAGAGAAGUUUUCGUCGUGUCUUCAAUACGGAGGCGCCUCCACCUCCUGUUCUUCAUCUGGAGGGCAGAUCUGGAGUCCGUCUUGGGCUCCGGAGAGGGGAAAUCGUCGCCAUCGUCAUCAUCAACCUUCUUCCCUCUCCGAUUCCAUGAAGCUCUUCGUCGUUCGUGAGUAAUCUAUUCGUAGGCUCGCUGGGCGGUGAUGAGUAGGAUGAGAUCUAUCAUGUAAUCGAGUUAGUUUUCAUGGGGAUUGAUCCCUAGUAUCCACUAUGUUCUCAAAUUUGAUGUUGCUACUACUUUGCCAUGCUUAAUGCUUCUCACUAGGGCCCGAGUGCCAUGAUUUUGGAUCUGAAAUUAUUAUGUUGUCACCAAUAUAUGUGUGUUUAGAUCCGAUCUUGCAAGUUGUAGUUACCUACUAUGUGUUAUGAUCCGGCAACCCCGGAGUGACUAUAACCGGAACCACUCCCGGUGAUGAUCAUAGUUUGAGGAUUUCAUGUGUUCACCAGGUGCUAAUGCGUUGGUCCGGUUCUUUAUUAAAAGGAGAACCUUAAUAUCCCGUAGUUUCCUUUUGGACCCCGCUACCACGGGAGGGAUGGACAAUAGAUGUCAUGCAAGUUCUUUUCCCUAAGCACGUAUGACGACACACAGAAUGCAUGCCUACAUCACAUUCACGAAUGCGAGCUAUCCACAUAUCUCUCCGUGUUAUAGUUGUUGCAUGAUGAAUAUCAUCCAAACAAAUCACUGACCCAUUGCCUACGAGUUUGUCCUACUGUUCCUACUGCUGUUACUUGUCUUGCUCUGCUGCUACUACUGUUGCUACUGUUGUUACUUGUCUUGCUCUACUGCUGCUGCUACUACUGUUGCUACUGCUGUUACUUGUUUUGCUCUGCUGCUACUGUUGCUACUACUGUUGCUACUUGCUACUGCUGUCACUACUACUGUUCCUUGCCACUGCUAUUGCUCGUUACACUGCUACUACCUGCUACACUGUUGAUUCACCGACCAUUGAAGGGAACUGACAACUUCCGUCGACGCGGCAACGAAGGCGCCAUUGAUACAAUUGUUAGGAAUAGUCUGUUGUCAACAGAUCGUUUCUGACACCGUUGUUAUCAUAUUACUUUGCUGUUACUAUUGUGCUUGCAGAUACUAAUCUUUCAGGUGUGGUUGAAUCUAACAAAUUCAGCUGCUAAUACUUGAGAUUAUACUCUCACCUCCUGACCGGCGAUCUACAAAUUGGGUCGAAUUCUCUACCCUCGAAAACUACUGCGAACCCACGCGCUGGUGGGCCAUCAACAACAUUCUUCGAGUUUCAUUGCCGGGGAGUGCUAGCAGCAUUCUUCUGGUGCCGUUGCAGGAGAAGGUUCGUUGUCAUAAGCAUUCGUCUAGCUAACGCUAGAGAUUGCAGGAUCAGCCCUUUUCUGGAGCCAUGGCCAGGGAAGCACAGCUGACGUCAAUUUUCAGGACGAUCGGAGAACUUUUAUUUUCGGGGUACUUUUCUACCAAACGCUAAAACAGAAAACAGGGAAAACUAAACUAAACCUAUCAUUUUUCUUCUAAGCAACCGAAGAUGAAAGCUUGGAACAAAGGUUUGUGAUUCCUCGAUUCAUCCAUGGCAUGGUCAUCGAAAGAAAAUUCAUCAAUGAGGUUGAUCAAGUCUCCUCGACAAACCUUUUCCAAUCGCAAAAGAGAGCGGAGAAUUUUGGAAUAGUCACUGGGUCACCUCAAUGGGGAUAUGUAUCUCUCCAACAAGCAAAUCAUACUUCAUCUUGACACGAGGAAUAGGGCAUUCAAAGCUCCCAAUAAGAAUCGAUGAAGUUUUUUCGAUAGCAUUGAUGCAAUGUACUUGAUAUUGUUUCUUAGGAAAGUGCACCGUAUGCUCAUUACCGUUGACAUGGAAAGUGACAUUGCCUUUGUUGCAAUAUAUAACAUCCCCUGCAGUGUUUAAAAAGGGUCUUCCAAGGAUGACCGCCAUGGCAUCGUCCUCAGGAAUAUCCAAGAUAACAAAGUAUGUUAAGAUGGUGACAUUAGCAACCACAACAGGCACAUCCUCGCAAAUGCCGAUAGGGAAAGCAGUUGAUUUGUCGUCCAUUUGUAGAGAGAUUUCAGUGGGUGUCAACUUAUCCAGUUCAAGUCUACGAUAAAGAGAGAGAGGCAUAACACUAACACCGGCUCCAAGAUCGCAUAACGUAGUUACCUUUAAUUGAGCAAGGUAUAGUGGGCACACCGAUAUCACCUAGUUUCUUAGGAGUUCCACCCUUGAAGGUAUAAUUAGCGAGCAUGGUGGUAAUCUCAACCUCAGGUAUCCUCCUCUUAUUAGUCACAAUAUCUUUCAUGUACUUAGCAUAUGGAAACAUUUUAAGCAUAUCUGUCAAACGCAUUUGUAGAAAGACAGGUCUAAUCAUUUCAACGAAUCGCUCAAAAUCCUCAUCAUCCUUUUUCUUGGAUGGUUUGGGAGGAAAGGGCAUGGGUUUCUGAACCCAUGGCUCCCUUUCUUUACCAUGCUUCCUAGCAACGAAGUCAUUCUUAUCGUAUCUCUUAGUCUUAGGCUGUGGGUUAUCAAGAUCAACAGGUUCAAUCUCCACAUCCUUAUCAUUGCUAGGUUGAGCAUCUUCAUGAACAUCACUAUUGAUAUUAUCAUUAGGCUCAUGUUCAUCACCAGAUUGUGUUUCAGCAUCAGAAGCAGAGACAUCGUUUGGACUCUAAGGUGUAGCAGCAACAGGGUUGCUAUCGUGCAGGUUCCUAUCAUCUUUCUUCUUCUUUCUAGGAUGACUAGGUGCAUCAGUGCUAGCUCUUUGAGAAUCUUGUUCAAUUCUCUUCGGAUGACCCUCAGGAUACAAAGGUUCCUGGGUCAUUCAACCGCCUCUAGUAAUGACUCUAACGGAAUUGUCAUUCAACUCAUUGAGCAAGUCAUUCUGAGCUUUAAGUACUUGUUCUACCUGAGUAGUAACCAUAGAGGCAUGUUUACUCAAAAGCUUAAGAUCAUUGACAUUUCUAUCCACACAAGCACUUAAAUGACUAAGCAUACGAGCAUUCUGUCCCAAUUGUCUGCUAACAUAAUCAUUGAAACUCUGUUGUUUGGCAACAAAGUUAUCAAAUUCAUCCAGGCAUAGGCUAGCAGGUUUAUCAAAAGGAAUAUCACUCUCAUCAAACCUACACAGAGAAUUUACUUCUACUACGUGUAUCGGGUUAUUGAGACCAUGGAUCUCUUCGUUAGGUGGUAGAUUUUUGACAUCUUCAGAUUUAAUGCCAUUCUCUCGCAUAGAUUUCUUGGCUUCUUGCAUAUCUUCAGGACUGAGGAAUAGAAUACCUAUUUUAUUCGUGGUUGGCUUAGGAGGUGGUUCGGGAAUAGUCCAAGCAUUCUCAUUGCACAAGAUAUUAAUCAAUAGAGUCUCAGCUUGUUCUACAGUUCUUUCCCUAAAAACACAACCGGCACAACUAUCUAGGUGGUCUUUGGAAGCAUCAGCAAGUCCAUUAUAGAAGAUAUCAAGUAUUUCAUUCUUCUCAAGAGGGUGAGCAGGCAAAGCAUUCAGUAGCUGGAUAAGCCUCCCCCAAGCUUGUGGGAGACUCUCUUCCUCUGCUUGAGCAAAGUUGUAUAUUUCCUGCAAGGCAGCUUGCUUCUUAUGGGCAGGGAAGUAUUUUUCAAAGAAGUAGUAGACCAUAUCCUGGGGGCUACGCACACAACCAGGAGCAAGAGAAGUGAACCAAGUCUUAGCAUCAUCCUUCAGCGAGAAAGGAAACAGCUUAAGGAUAUAGUAGUGGCGGAUCUUUUCCUCACUAGUGAAUAGGGUGGCUAUAUCGUGCAGUUUGGUAAGAUGGGCCACAACCUUUUGAGACUCAUAACCGUGAAAAGGAUCAAAUUCGACCAGAGUGAUUAACUCAGGGUCGACAGAGAAUUCAUAAUCCUUAUCGGUCACAAAGAUAGGCGAAGUAGCAAACUUCGGGUCGUAUUUCAUCCUAGCGUUCAUAGAUUUUUCUUUCCACUUGCGCAGUAAUUUCUCAACAUCAUAGCUAUCCUUACACGCAAGAAAGUCCUCAGCUAUCUCUCCCUCCAUAACAUAGCGCUCAGGCAUAACAUGCAAUUCAAGCAUAAUAGCAGGUUCUACUUCAAUAGUAUCAGCAGUUUCAGAAGUGUCAUCACAUCUAGCAGCAAUUCUAGCAAUUUGUGCAUCAAGGAAUGCACCUAGUGGCAAAGCAGUAUCAGGCAUAGCAUCAUCAGGCAUAGUAUCAAGCAUAGCAUCAUCAGGCAUAGUAUCAAGCAUAGCAUCAUUAGGCAUAGUAUCAAGCAUAGCAUCAUCAGGCAUAGUAUCAAGCAUGGCAUCAUCAGACUUAGUAUCAAGCAUAGCAUCAUAAGCAUCAUGGGCAGCAUAAGUAGCAUCAUCAAGCAUAGGCGACAUAUCAAGAUUUCUAGCAGGAGGUGCUAUCGCAAACUUACUCAUAACUGAAGGUGAAUCAAGUGCAGAGCUAGAUGGCAGUUCCUUACCUCUCCUCGUAGUGGAAGGCAAGAUUUUAGUUCUUGGAUCUUUCGGAUUCCUCAUAGUGAUCAGCAGACGUCAAUCACAAGUGACUGAGAGAAUAUAGUUGUGCCUCCCUGGCAACGGCGCCAGAAAAUAGUCUUGAUAACCCACAAGUGUAGGGGGUCGCAACAGUUUUCGAGGGUAGAGUAUUCAACCCAAAUUUAUUGAUUCGACACAAGGGGAAGCGAAAGAAUAUUCUCAAGUUUUAGGAGCUGAGUUUGUCAGUUUCAACCACACCUGAAAGAUUAGUGUCUGCAAGCAAAGUAUCAGUAGCAAAGUGGUAUGAUAGCAACGGUGUCAGAAAUAGUUCUUUUGACGGCAGACUAUUCCUAACUUGUUGUAUCAAUGGCGCCAGUAAAUAGCACGUGGACGGGGGACUAUUCUUCCCCGACAACGGCUUCAGAAAAGUCUUGCAACAAGUAACAGCAAAGUAACAACAGUAGUGACAGCAGUAGCAAGGAACAGCAGUAGUGACAGAAGUAGCAGCAGUAGUAGUAACAGCAGAGUAACAGCAGUAGCGACAGUAGUAGAAGCCAAGUAACGUAGCAAGGACCAGUAGUAAAAGACUCGUAGGCAGUGGAUCGGUGAUGGAUGAGUAUACCGGAUGUGAUUCAUCAUGUAACAGCUAUAACACGGAGAGAUAAGUAACUAGCUCCCGCUCGUCAAUCUAAUGUAGGCAUGUAUUCCAUAUGUAGUCAUACGUGCUUAGGGAAAAGAACUUGCAUGACAUCUAUUGUCCAUCCCUCCCGUGGCAGUGGAAUAUAUAGAGCUGAGUUUGGGGGCGGUGGAGCCACGUGGGCCCCACAAACCCUCACGGCGCGGCCAGGGGGGUGGCCGCGGCCUAGGGGCUUGUGGCCCACUGGCACACCUCCUCUGGUGGAUCUUUGUGCAGGUAUUUUUCUUUAAUUCCAGAAAAAAUCUCCAUAAAUUUUCAGAUCAUUCCGAGAACUUAUAUUUCUACACAAAAACAACACCAUGGCAAUUCUGCUGAAAACAGCGUUAGUCUGGGUUAGUUCCAUUCAAAUCAUGCAAAUUAGAGUCCAAAACAAGGGCAAAAGAGUUUGGAAAAGUAGAUACGACGGAGACGUAUCACUCACGUGUGAGGUGGUGGACUUCCAAAGUGCCUACCACGCCAUACUAGGUCGUCCAACAUAUGUACAUUUCAUGGCCCGACCAUGUUACGUUUACUUGAAGAUGAAGAUGCCAGGGCCGAAGGGAGUCAUCAGCAUCACUGGUGAUCGGCAGAGAGCAGAACAAUGCUUGCAGCACGGCUCCAAGAUCGCUGACCAGCAGAUGGCAAUGGCAGAGCUCGAUGAGUACCGGUAGACAGCAGAUCCCGACGAACUGAUGCGCUCUAAGAACCCAGCUUUUGAGUCUGCAUUUCAGUCGACACGCAAAAUCAAGAAGGUCAACAUCCACCCGGCGGAUCCUACGGCUGCACCAACGAACAUCUCAACAACUCUUGACCCUAAAUAGGAAGACGAGCUCAUCCAGUUUCUCCGUGAGAACUGGGACAUCUUCGCAUGGAAGCCCGCUGACAUGCCUGGUGUGCCCAAGGAACUAGCUGAGCACCGACUGAGAGUCGGCCCCAAAGCUCGACCUGUCAAAGAACAUAUGCGUCGGUCCGCCACGCAGAAAAGGAAAGCAAUCGGCAAGGAAGUAGCUAAGCUCUUGGAGGCCAAGUUCAUUCGCGAGGUUUACCACUCCGAGUGGCUCGCGGAUGUUGUCAUGGUGCCCAAGAAGGACAAAUCACUCUGAAUGUGCAUCGACUUCAAGCAUAUCAAUCGGGUCUGCCCGAAAGACCACUUCCCACUCCCCCGCAUAGAUCAGAUCGUCGACUCGACUGCAGGAUGUGAGCGAUUGUCUUUUUUAGAUGCUUACUCUGGGUACAACCAGAUCCGUCUGUAUGGCCCGGAUGAAAUAAAAACAGCCUUCAUCACCCCGUUUGGGUGCUUGUGCUACAUCACUAUGCCAUUCGGUCUCAAAAAUGCAGGAGCCACUUAUAUGCGCAUGAUUCAGAAAUACCUCCUCGGCCAGAUCAGUCGGGACGUGGAAGCAUACAUGGACGAUAUCGUAGUCAAGUCAGGCAAAGGUUUUGACCUGCUGACUGACUUGGCUGAAACGUUUGCCAACCUUCGAAGGUACGACAUCAAGCUCAACCCAGCCAAGUGCACAUUCGGAGUCCCCAGUCGCAAGUUACUCGGUUUUCUUGUUUCCGAACGAGGAAUCGAUGUUAACCCUGAAAAGAUCGGGGCCAUCGUCCGAAUGAAAAGCCCUGUGCGAGUGCACGAUGUCCAGAAGCUUACGGGAUGUUUGGCAGCAUUAAGCAGAUUCAUAUCUCGACUCGGAGAGAAAGCCUUACGAUUAUACUGACUCAUGAAGAAGCUAGAUACCUUUGAGUGGACUGCUACUGCGACAACAGACCUUCCCUGGUACGGCACCAGGAAUCUUGCUGCUACGGCUACGCCUUUAGGGACUUCCUUGGCAAAUACGCAAAGGAUUUACCCGCGGCCUUGCAGCCUUGCGUUGGUGUUCCCUUGAAGAAGAAAGGGUGAUGUAGCACAGCGGCGGUAAGUAUUUCCCUCAGUUUUGAGAACCAAGGUUUCGAACCAAUGGAAGAUCCCGUCAAGUCACAAGUACCUGCACAAACACAAAGAUCUUGCACCCAAUGCUAUGAAGGGGUUGUCAAUCCGUUAUAGAUUGUUUGCAAAGUGAGAACUGAAAGCAAAGAGUAAACAGAGCAAAGUAAAAGUGAAAGUGGAAACGAUAGUUGUGAAUAGACCCGGGGGCCGUAGUGUUCACUAGUGGCUUCUCUCAUGAAAGCAAGUAGAAGGUGGGUGAACGAAUUACUGUCGAGCAAUUGAUAGAACUGCGCAAAGUCGUGACGUCAUCUAUGGCAAUGAUUAUAUCUAUAGGUAUCACGUCCAAAACAAGUAGACCCAUACUUUCUGCAUCUACUACUAUUACUCCACACGUCGAUCGCUAUCUAGCUUGCAUCGAGUGUAUUAAGUUCAUGAGAACAGAGUAACGCCUUAAGCAAGAUGACAUGAUGUAGAUGGACAAUCUCAUAUCUACGAUAAAAGCCCAUCUGGUUACCCUUGAUGGCAACAACAUGAUGCGUGCCUUGCUGCCCCUUCUGUCACUGGGAAAGGUCACCACACAGUAUGAACCCAAAACCAAGCACUUCUCCCAUUGCAAGAAUCAUAGAUCUAGUUGGCCAAACAAAACCCAAGACUCGGAGAGACUUACAAGGAUAUCAAAUCAUGCAUAUAAGAAAUCAGCAAAGACUCAAAUAUAAUUCAUAGAUAAUCUGAUCACAAAUCCAUAAUUCAUCGGAUCUCGACAAACACACCGCCAAAGAGGAUUACAUCGGAUAGAUCUCCAUGAAGAUCAUGGAGAACUUUGUAUUGAAGAUCCAAGAGAGAGAAGAAGCCAUCUAGCUACUAACUACGGACCUGUAGGUCUAAAGUGGACUACUCACGAGUCGUUGGAGAGGCGAUGAUGUUGAUGUAGAAGCCCUGCAACUCCAAAGUCCCCUCCGGCAGGGCACCGGGAAGGGUCUCCAGAUGAGAUCUCGCGGAAACGGAAGGUUGCGGCGGCGGAAAAGUGUUUUCGUGGAUGCCCUGAUUUUUUCUGGAUUUUAGGGAAUAUAUAGGCGAAAGAGCUAGGGUAGGGGGGCUCAAGGGAGGCCACAAGCCUGGUAGCCGUCGCCCCCCUGGUGGCGGCUACAGGGCUUGUGGGCCCCCUGUGGCUCUCCUGCCUUGGCCCUCAAGUCCCGUGAUCUUCUUCCGUUCUGGAAAAAUUUAUCUCGGGGGUUUUAUUCCGUUUGGACUCCGUUCCAAAAUCAGAUCUGAAAAGAGUCAAAAACACAGAAAAAACAGGAACUGGCACUUGGCACUGAAUUAAUAAGUUGGUCCCAAAAAAGAUAUAAAAGGUACAUAAAACAUCCAAAGUUGACAAGAUAACAACAUGAAACCAUUAAAAAUUAUAGAUACGUUUGAGACGUAUCAUGGACUCCCAAAGAAGAAGCUGCAUUCGUCGAGUUAAAGAAUCUGCUAUCCACCCAGCCAGUUAUUGCUGCUCCGCACAACAAAGAGCCACUCCUCUUAUACAUCGCGCCUACAAAUCAAGUUGUCAGAACAGUCCUGACAAUCGAGCGAGGGGAGGAAGGCAAGCCUUACAAGAUACAUUGCCAGUAUAUUAUGUUUUCGAGGUAUUGACUCCUUCCCAGCAGACAUAUCCCCAUUAUCACAAGCUACUUUAUGGGAUUUACAUGACUGCAAAGAAGGUACCUCAUUAUUUUCAAGAUCACUCGGUGUCUGUGGUCAGCGAUGCCCCAUUGUCAGAAAUCCUUCACAAUCUGGAUGCAUCGGGCCGAGUGGUGAAAUGGGCACUGGAGUUAUUAUAUUGUGGCAUAAAGUUCGAAGCCAAGAAAGCCAUUAAAUCUCAAGCUCUGGCAGAUUUCAUGGCUGAACGGUGGAGCAACAACAACCAGCCCCUACUCACUCGGCACACUGGACUAUGUUCUUUGACGACUCAAAGAUGUUGAGUGGUUCUGGUGCAUGUAGUUCUUAUAUCCCCGAAGGGUGACAAGCUGAGUUAUGUAUUGCAGAUUCACUUUGAUUCCUCUAACAAUGAGGCAGAGUAUGAAGCCCUCCUUUACGGGUUGUGUAUGGGCAUCUCACUCGGCGUCCGACGUUUGAUGGUAUACGGAGACUCGGAUCUAGUGGUUAAUCAAGUAAUGAAAGAGUGGGAUGUGAGAAACCCUGCCAUGACUAGAUACUGCAACGCAGUAAGAAAACUUGAGAAAAGGUUUGAAGGUUUGGAACUUCAUCACGCUCCUCGGUUGAAGAAUCAAGCUAUUGACGAAUUAGCAAAAAUCGGAUCCACUCGGAAAAUUGUGCCGAGUGAUGUUUGUUUGGAGCACAUGCACACCCCUUCGGUCCAGGAAGAUCCAUUCAUUGAAGAACAUCCCCAACCUACAAGCGCAGUUGAUCCGACUGAAGUUGAAAUCCCAGCGGUUGAUGAUCUGAUCAUGGAGAUUCGAGUGGUCACGCCCGAUUGGACAGUGUCGUAUAUUGCAUAUAUCCUGAGGCAAGAGCUACCCGAAGAUGAAGACGGAGCUAGACAAAUUUUCCGCUGAUCAAAAGCUUUCACGGUCAUGGGAGAUCAGCUAUAUAAGGAAAGUGUGUCUCGCGUUGCUCAGCAGUGCAUUUCCCUUGAGGAAGGUCGACUGAUUUUGGAGGAAAUUCACUCGGGAACUUGUGGUCAUCAUGCAUCCUCCAGAGCCAUCGUUGCCAAAGCAUUCUGAGGUGGGUUCUUCUAGCCAUGUGCGGGCUAAAUGGCAAAGGAGCUUGUAGACCGCUGUGAAGGAUGUCAAUUCUACUCCAAGAAAUCACACAAGCCGUCAUCUGCUCUGAAGACAAUCCCCCUCAUAUGGCCUUUUGUCGUGUGGGGCUUGGACAUGGUCGGACCCUUCCGUACAGGACAAGGCAGAUUCACUCAUUUUCUAGUCGCAUUUGACAAAUUCACCAAGUGGAUAUAAGCCAAGCCAAUCAAAAAGCUAGAUGCAUGCACAACAAUCAAGUUCAUGAGGGAAAUCACUAUCAGAUUUGGGGUUCCACACAGCAUCAUCAUAGACAAUGGAUCGAACUUUGACUCGGAUGAAUUCAAGAGUUUUUGCUCCAACCAAGGAACCCGAGUGGAUUACGCAUCCGUUGCUCAUCCCCAAACGAAUGGCCAGGCUGAACGAGCGAAUGGACUCAUACUUCAAGGGUUAAAGCCUCGUCUUUUGCGGGAGGUUGGACACGCUGCGGGUGCUUGGGUCACCGAGUUACCUUCUGUGAUCUGGGGACUCAGAACGACCCCGAAUAGGUUGACUGGGCGGUCUCCAUUCUUCCUCAUAUACGGUACAGAAGCCGCCCUUCCGAGUGAUUUACUUCACAAUUCCCCCAGAGUUGAGAUCUUCUCGAAAGCCAAAGAUGAACAAGGCCGACAUGAUGGGGUCGAUCUUUUGGAGGAGGAGCACGAGAUGGAUCUGAUUCGAUCAACGAUCUACGAACAGGACUUGCGAUGGUUUCAUUCAAGACACGUCAGUAGUCGGACGUUUCAAGCAGGCGAUUUGGUACUCCGAGUGCAUCAGUAGAGACCGCACAAGCUGGCCCCCGCCUGGGAAGGACCCUUCAUCGUCUCCAAGGUGCUGAACAACGGGUCAUACAGACUCUACAAUUUGGAGAAGAGGAUCGAUGAGCCGUGAGCAUGGAACGAAGACUUACUUAAGCGUUUUUAUGCCUGAUUUACGACUGUUUUGAUGUAACGACCAAGGUUCCCUAAAGCAAUUUACUUGCCAGAAGCUUUGAUUACUGCAAUAUGCUUGUUGACUCUGGUGUAGAAAACUUCUCCGAGUGAAGAGCUACCCUCUCACUCGGGGGCUUAGCCGCGAACCAGAUUCGCCUAAGUUACAAACUUCUCCGACUGAAGAGCUACGCUCUCACUCGAGGGCUUAGCCGCGAACCAGAUUCGCUUAAGUUAAAAACUUCUCCGAGUGAAGAGCUACCCUCUCACUCGGGGGCUUAGCCACGAACCAGAUUCACCUAAGUUAAAAACUUCUCCGAGUGAAGAGCUACCCUCUCACUCGAGGGCUUAGUCACAAACCAGAUUCGCCUAAGUUAAAAAUUCUCCGAGUGAAGAGCUACCCUCUCACUCGGGAGGCUUAGCCGCGAACCAGAUUCGCCUAAGUUAAAAAACUUCUCCGAGUGAAGAGCUACCCUCUCACUCGGAAGCUUAUCCGCAAACCAGAUUCGCCUAAGUUAAAAAUUCUCUGAGUGAAGAGCUACCCUCUCACUCGGAGGCUUAGCCGCGAACCAGAUUCGCCUAAGUUAAAAAACAUCUCCAAAUGAAGAGCUACCCUCUCACUCGGGGGCUUAGUCGCGAACCAGAUUCGCCUAAGUGAAAAACUUCUUCGAGUGAAUAUCUACCCUCUCACUUGGGGGGCUUAGCCGCGAACCACAUUUGCCUAAGUCAAAAAACUUCUCCGAGUGAAGAGAUAUCCUCUCACUCGGACGCUUAGCCGCGAACCAGAUUCGCCUAAGUGACGAAAUCCCUGCCCAACUUUGCGUCAAGCUUCGCUUAGCUCGGAAGACUUUGCGUAUACCAAGAGCAUCCCCAAAAAGAAAAAGUUCAUUCGACAAAGAUAAACUCAAAUCCAGUUGAAGCGAGCAAAUAAAUGAUACCCGGCGCAGAUCAAGGUUAUCUGCACAGGACGAAAGCACUCAGGUCAUUACCCGAAUGAAGUUUAAAGUGUUUACAUAAAACCACUCGGCAUACCGAGGAAAAUCGAAGUUUUUUCCCACAAUUGAUAGUCUUCCUCACGGCUCACCUGGACUGGCCGGUUCCACGAAGGUAUCGAGGUCGAUGACGUCGGUGAUGCAUGUUGCAGUGUCAAUGAAGGUCUCCAUGAAGUCUUCAAACCGAAGCUUCUUCGUGUUUGCAACCUGUAGAGCCUUCAACUUCUCCUCCCAAGUCUCCUUGCAGUGGACCCUCACGAGAGAAAGAGUCACAUCAGCCCCGCACCGAGCAGCUGAUUUCUUCCACGCUUGGACUCUUUCAGGAACAAGACCCAGGCGCUCCAUCACAGCAUCCAGACCGACAAGGAACGUGUCUUCAAGCCAUAGCUCUUUGUCAAUUCUUCCCACAGCAGCUCGCAGACGAGUGAAGUAUCCUUGGACUUUAACGAGGCGGCAGUUGAGGCGAUACAUGUUCACGGCCAAGUCAUCAGGAACAAGAAACUUAAUGGGAUCCAAGUAUGGCUCCACCUCCAAGGUCUCUUUUUCGAAAUCAAGACAGAACUCUGCAGAAGAAGAACAACGAAAUAUCAGAUGCAUGUGAGUCGAUGGGAAAAGCUAAGACUCACUUGGUAAAGGGAACAUACCAAUGAGAGAAUCGAGCAUUUUUGCCAGGAAAUCUUUUACAAAGCCUUCCAAGGCAUUUCCCCUUUUUGAAAUGGAGUGAAGUUUAUUCGCCCAUUCGUCUCUUUCAUUCUUCAUAUGUUCAUUUUAUGUCGUCAACUUAUUAAAAUCCGCAAGCUUCAGUUCAUCAGCUUCGGACUUCUUCUUCAGCUCGGCAAGGACUAGAUCCUUGUCUUCCGGCAUCUUUUUCAUCGCAUCACACUCCAGCUUCAGUUUAUCCCUCUCACAUUCCACUUGGGUGUACUAUGACCCAAUUUCGCAAGCUUUCUACAAGAGUCAAGACAAACAUCACUCGACAUAUAUAACACUUCUGAGUGAUAUAUGGUCAAAGUAAAAUCACUUCCGAGUGAUAAAAACUUCUUUCGAUUAAAGGAUAAGAUAUGUUUCAGAUCAGACCCCAGCCGAUGCAAGCAUUCGACAUCGGUCUCGGGGACUACACCCUGUGGGUUCACUCGGCGUGACCCCACUGAAUUAGCACUCGGUCAGGUCUGCCCUGACAAGCCAAAAAUAUUAUACACUCAAGUACUUCAAACUAUUAUCACUCACUUCCGACUAAUAAUAGUCUGGGGGACUACACCCAGUGGGUGCACGAUGACCCACAAGUAUAGGGGAUCAAUCGUAGUCCUUUCGAUAAGUAAGAGUGUCGAACCCAACGAGGAGCAGAUGGAUCUGACAAGUGGUUUUCAGCAAGGUAAAAUCUGCAGGCACUGAAAUUGUCGGUAACAAGUGAUUGUGUGGUGAGAUGAUUCGUAGCAAGCAACAAGUAACAAAAGUAGCAACGGUGCAGCAAAGUGGCCCAAUCCCUUUUGUAGCAAGGGACAAGCCUGGACAAAGUCUUAUAGGAGGAAAAACGCUCCCGAUGACACACGGGAAUUUCUGUCAUGCUAGUUUUCAUCAUGUUCAUAUGAUUCACGUUCAUUACUUUGAUAGUUUGAUGUGUGGGUGGACCAGCGCUUGGGUACUGCCCUUACUUGGACAAGCAUCCCACUAAUGAUUAACCCCUCUCGCAAGCAUCCGCAACUACAAAAGAAGAAUUAAGUAAAGUUUAACCAUAGCAUUAAACUAGUGGAUCCAAAUCAGCCCCUUACGAAGCAACACAUAAACUAGGGUUUAAGCUUCUGUCACUCUAGCAACCCAUCAUCUACUUACUACUUCCCAAUUCCUUCCUCUAGGCCCAAAUAAUAGUGAAGUGUUAUGUAGUCGACGUUCACAUAACACCACUAGAGGAAAAACAACAUACAACACAUCAAAAUACCGAACGAAUACCAAAUUCACAUGACUACUAUUAGCAUGACUUAUCCCAUGUCCUCGGGAAUAAAAGUAACUACUCACAAAGCAUAACCAUAUUCUUGACCAGAGAGGUAAUGAGUAGCAUCAAGGAUCUGAACAUAAACUCCUCCACCAAACAAUCCAACUAGCAUCAACGACAAAGAGUAAUCAAUACUAUUAGCAACCUUACAAGUACCAAUCGGAGUCGCGAGACGGAGAUUGGUUACAAGUGAUGAACUAGGGUUUGGAGAUGAGAUGGCGCCGAUGAAGAUGUUGAUGGUGACGAGUGACGAUGGCGACGAUUUCCCCCUCCGGCAGGAUCGUCUUGCCGGAGCUCUAGAUUGGUUCUGCUCAAGUUCCGCCUCGUGGCGGCGGCGAAUCCACGAAAAAGCUCCUCCCUUAUUUAUUUUUCUGGACGAAACCCUUCAUAUAGCAGAAGAGGGGGCCAGUGGGCCAACAGGCUGCCCACAAGCCCCCUUGGCGCGGCCUAGGGGGUGGCCGCAUCGUGCAGGCUUGUGGCCACCUCGUGGCGCCCCUCGGGCGCUUCUUCGGCCCAGUAUUUUUUAUAAAUUGUGAAAAAAAUCCUCGUUGAUUUUUACGGCGUUUUGAGUUGCGCAGAAUAGGUAUCUCAACUUUGCUCCUUUUUCAGGCCAGAAUUCCAGCUGCCGGCAUUCUCCCUCUUCAUGUAAACCUUGCAAAAUAAGACAGAAAAGGCAUAAGUAUUGUACCGUGAAGUGAAAUAACAGCCCAAUAAACGAUAAAUAUCAACAUGAAAACAUGAUGCAAAAUGGACGUAUCAACUCCCCCAAACUUAGACCUCGCUUGUCCUCAAGCGAAAGCCUAGCUCAAUAAAUAUGUCCACAUGUUUAGGGAGAGAGGUGUCGACAAAACAAGAUACGAACAUGCAUUCAUCAUGAUCAUGAUCAGAACAGCAAUACCAACAUGUAGUCUCUCAUGCUAAAGUGAUAAUUCCUUCACAAAGUAAAGCAUGGAUCAAGAACCUUACCGAGAAGUAACAACCAAUAGCCUUUCGUCAAUGAAGCAAUUGCAAUUUAUCACAACAUCAGAAAGAGUCAAAUAAGAGCUUGUAAAGAAAAUCCACAUACUCAAUCAUUCUUUCAUUCUCUACAAUUGCUACAACUCACGUGGUACUCAUGAGAUCAAAGUUUCAGCUGGACACGGAGAAAGAUAGGGGCUUACAGUUUUGCCUCCCAACUACUUACCUCAAGGGUAAUGUCAACAAUAAUAAUUCAUGAAUACUUACUUCCAAUUUGACAUAUGAAGAUAGAUCUUUCCCAAGCAUAUGACGUUAGCCAAGAUAAAGGCGAAAUAGGGAAUUGGUGAAGAUCACCAUGACUCUUUCAAGAGCAAAAAGUAAAGGUACAAGAUAGGCCCUUUGCAGAGGGAAGCAGAGGUUGUCAUACACUUUUGAGGUUUGGAUGCGUGUCCUCUUAGUGCGGAGGAACGUCACUUUAUAUUGCCGCCUGUGAUAAAUAACUUUAUUAUGCAGUCUGUUGCUUUUAUGUCUUCCUCAUCACAGGUUCGUAUAAAACUUAUUUUCCACACACUAAUAGAUCAUACAUAUUAGAGAGCAAUUUUUAUUGCUUGCACCGAUGACAACUUACUUGAGGGAUCUUAUUCAAUCCAUAGGUAGGUAUGGUGGACACUCAUGGCAAAACUGGUUUGAAGGUUUAUGGAUGCACAAGUAGUAUCUCUACUUGGUGCGGAAGUUUUGGCUAAUAUGAGGUGGAAGCAAUCGUCACAUGCUAAGGGAUCUCUAAUCAUAUAACAUUGUUCGGAACCAAGAAAACACAAUUCAUUAUGUUGUCUUCCUUGUCCAACAUCUACUUCUAGGCAUGCAAUAGUUUAGUGAGUGUUCACAAUCGUAGAUGGUGUCAGAGAUGAUAUAUUUAUAUGUGAACCUCUCCUUCUUUAUCACUUCCUAUUAAUUGCAACCAUGACCAAGGUCUACGUUUGCCUACCCUCAACAAGUUUCAAUCCUCAUUCUUUUUAUAUGUGAAGCCAUCACUUCCCAUAAGAUGAUUACAUGAUCUUUCAUGCUUUUGUUCUAUUCUCACUCUUUUGAUCAUGGCAAGAGGCAAAGCCCUUCAACUAAGACACUCUUUAUUAUAUGGCUCACGAGCUCGAAUACAUCGGGGGUGACACAAAGCAAAACUCAAGACUAAAACACUAAGACUUUUAAUCUACUAGAGAAAAGAGAAAAGUGAAAAGGAAAACUAAAACAAAGGUAAAGGCAAAAGAUGUGAUGGUGAUACGAUACUGGGCCAACUCCCCCAAGCUUGGCACAAGCCAAGGGGAUUGCCCAUACCCAUGCUCAGUGGUCUUCCUUUGGAGGUGAUGGUGGUGGAGUUGUUGCAACAUGGAUUUGAUCCUCCGUCUUCCAAGGCAUAGGUGCUCCAUCAUGGAAAGAUGAACGAGUCCCCGGGAUCCUCAAAUCUGCAGCCAACCGUAUUGAUUUAAAUCUAUACUCAUACUCACAGUUUUGGUUCUGCAGGUCAUAGAUUUGGGCCUGGAGUUGAUCAAUCCUGUCAUAGAGCCUGGAGAGGUGCUUCCCAAUGUCAUUGGCGUCAAUCCUGUGUUUGUUGGUGAAUUCCGUGAUCAUCAUGUGAUUGGCCUAAGUCCAUGCUCCAUCAUCCCUUGGCACUUGAAAACUUGUUGCUCCAUUGCUUCGAGCCUCGUCUCCACGCUUCCGGUCUUCUUGGGCCCCUCAACAUCACGGAUGUGCAACAUCCCCUCACGCAUCUCGAUAGAUUGAGGGUGUUGCAGCACUCCCAUGAGGUAGGGAUUGAUGACCUUGUCGAAGAUCUUGUCCUUCGGAGCUUUUGGGGAAGUCAUAGCAAUCUAGAUUUGCAAUGGAAAUAGGCUCGAAACGAAAAACAAAGGAAAUAUGCAUGAUGCAGGGGUCAGACCAAACGGGAGUAUAUAUAAUGAUUUUUUUCAGACCAGAAGGAGUACCCUGCACGAAAACAAAGUCCGGGAGGCGCACGAGGUGGCCACAAGCCCUCCCGGCGCGGCCAGGGGGUGGGCCCGUGCUGGGCAGGCUUGUCUCCUCCUCGCGCACUUUCCGGACUACUACCAAUUUUUGUAUUUUUCCAAGUAUUCCAAAACGGAGAAAAUUUCCUACUGGAAAAGUUUUGGACUCUGUUUUCUUACCAAAUAACAUACCUCUUCGUUUUCGGAGUCUGAAACAGGCUGAUAAAUAUCCCUUAGGUAUUCUUCCGGAGUUAUGGUAUUGAUGAUAUUGCUUUCAACAUUUAUGGGAGUACCUGAGAUAUAAUGCUUGAUUCGGUGCCCAUUUACAACUCUCGGACAAUUACCUUCCGUGUUGUUGAUCUAGAUAACACCAGAACGAUGUACUUCCACAACAACAUAGGGACCUUCUCAUUUAGAGAGAAGCUUGCCUGCAAAGAAUCUUAAACGAGAGUUACAUAGCAAGACAUAAUCACCUACAUUGAACUCACGCUUUUGUAUCCUCUUAUCAUGCCACCUCUUAACUUUCUCUUUGAACAACUUGGCAUUCUCAUAUGUGUGAGUUCUCCAUUCAUCAAGCGAGCUAAUAUCAAAUAACCUCUUCUCACCAGCAAGUUUGAAAUCAAGUUGAGCUCUUUGAUUGCCCAAUAAGCUUUAUGCUCUAGCUCAAGAGGUAAAUGACAUGAUUUACCGUACACCAUUUUGUACAGAGACAUGCCCAUGGGAUUCUUAUAGGUAGUUCUAUAAGCCCAUAGUGCAUCAUCAAGCUUCUUAGACCAAUUCUUUCUAGACCUGUUGACAGUCUUUUGCAGAAUUAGUUUAAUCUCUCUGUUCUUAGCACUACUUGACCACUGGACUGAGGGUGAUAGGGAGACGCAAUUCUAUGGUUGACAUCGUACUUAGCAAGCGUUUUACGGAAAGCACCAUGAAUGAAGUGUGAAUCACCGUUGGUCCUUAGAUAUCUAGGGACUCCAAAUCUAGGGAAGAUAACUUCUUUUAGCAUCCUGAUGGAGGUGGUGUGAUCAGCACUACUAGUGGGGAUAGCUUCUACCCACUUAGUGACGUAAUCAACGACAACUAAGAUGUGAGUAUACCCGUUGGAUUUUGGAAAAGGUCCCAUAUAAUCAAAGCCCCAAACAUCAAAUGGUUCAAUGACAAGUGAAUAGUUCAUAGGCAUUUCCUGACGUUUACCGAUAUUACCUAUUCUUUGACAUUCGUCACAAGACAAGACAAACUUACGGGCAUCCUUGAAGAGAGUGGGCCAAUAGAAACCUGAUUGCAGUAUGGUGUCCUCUAUAGGCCUCGGAGUGACACUUCUGCAGGAUUUGUCCCUGCUCAUGUUCAGGUACACAACAUCUAAUAACACCAUCUACUCCUUCCUUAUAAAGGUGAGGAUCAUCCCAAAAGUAGUGUCUCAAGUCAAAGAAGAAUUUCUUCUUUUGCUGGUACGUGAAACUAGGUGGUGUGUAUUUGGCAACGAUAUAGUUUGCAUAAUCAGCAUACCACGAUGCACUAUGUGAAGCAUUGAUGACAUUCAGUUGCUCAUCGGGAAAGCUAUCUUUUCAAUAGGUUGUGGGUCAUCAAGAACAUUCUCCAACCUAGACAAGUUAUCUGCUACGGGGUUAUCAGCACCCUUCCUGUCAACAACGUGCAAAUCAAAUUCUUGUAGCAAGAGAACCCAUCUAAUAAGUCUAGGUUAGCGUCUUUCUUCUCCAUGAGGUACUUAAUAGCAGCAUGAUCAGUGUGAAUAGUGACUUUGGUAUCAACCAUGUAAUACCUAAACUUUUCAUAUGCAAACACGACUGCUAAAAAUUCCUUCUCCGUAGUAGCAUAGUUUCUCUGGGCACUGUCUAGAGUUUUACUAGUGUAGUGAAUAACAUUCAACUUCUUAUCGACUCUUUGCCCUAGAGCAGCACCAACAGCAUAAUCACUAGCAUCACACAUGAUUUCAAAAGGCAAGUUCCAAUCAGGUGGUUGAACAAUAGGUGCAGUUAUCAAAGCCCUCUUAAGUAUUUCGAAGGCUUCCUCACAAUCAUCGCUAAAAACAAAAGGAAUAUCCUUUUGCAAGAGUUGGUAAGAGGCCUAGAAAUCUUAGAGAAGUCUUUAAUGAACCUUCUAUAGAAACCAGCAUCACGAAGGAAACUUCUUAUACCUUUGAUAUCUAUGGGGUAUGGCAUUUUCUCGAUUGCAUCAACCUUAGCCUUAUCAACUUCAAUACCUCUUUCAGAAAUUUUAUGUCCUAAGACGAUGCCUUCAUUAACCAUAAAGUGGCACUUCUCCCAAUUCAAGACAAGAUUGGUAUCUUUACAUGUUUGCAAGACUCGAUCAAGGUUGCUGAGGCAAUCAUCAAAGGAAGACCCAUAAACGGAGAAGUCGUGCAUGAAAACCUCAACAAUCUUUUCACAGAAGUCAGAGAAUAUAGCCAUCAUACAUCUUUGAAAGGUGGAAGGUGCAUUGCAUAAGCCAAAAGGCAUACGUCUAUAAGCAAAGGUACCAAAAGGGCAGGUGAAAGUGGUUUUUUCCUGAUCAGAUUGUGCAACUGGUAUUUGGGAGAAACCAGAAUAACCGUCUAGAAAGCAGAAGUGUGUGUGUUUAGACAGUCUUUCUAGCAUUCGGUCGAUAAAAGCAAAGGGUAAUGAUCUUUCCUAGUGGAUUUAUUCAAUUUCCUAAAAUCGAUCACCAUCCUAUAGCCAGUAAUAAUCCUCUGUGGGAUCAAUUCAUCCUUACCAUUAGGGACAACGGUAAUACAUCCCUUCUUAGGGACGCAAUGCACCGGACUCACCCAAUCGCUAUGAGCAACAGGAUAGAUAAUACCCGCUUCCAGGAGCUUUAGUAUUUCUUUUCUUACUACUUCUUUCAUCUUAGGAUUCAAUCUCCUUUGAUGAUCAGCAACUAGUUUAAAAUCAGGAUCGGUUUUAAUCUUGUGCUAGCAUAGAGUGGGACUAAUGCCCUUAAGAUCAUCAAGAUUAUAUCCAAUAGCAGCACGGUGCUUCCUCAGAGUUUUUAUUUACUUCUUUUCUUCAUGCUCUGAGAGGCUAGCACUAAUAAUAACAAGAUAUAUCUCUUUUUCAUCAAGAUAGGCAUACUUAAGAGUAUCAGGCAACUGUUUAAGCUCGAACACAGGAUCACCCUUUGGUGGGGGUGGAUCCCGAAGCAGUUCAACAGUCAGGUUAUUCUUAAGGAUAGGAUAUUGUUCUAAGACAACUCUAUCUAUCUCAUCCCUUUCAUCCAUAUGCAUAUCAUUUUCAUGCUCAAGCAAGUAUUGCUCUAAAGGAUCAGUAGGAGGCACGACAAUAGAAGCUAAGGCAAUAGUUUCAUCCCUACUAGGCAACUCCUUUUCAUGAGGUUGUCUACCAAACUUGGAGAAAUUGAACUCAUGUGACACACCUUCAAAGCCAAUAGUGACAGUUUGCUGCUCAAAAUCAAUAUGAGCAUUGACAGUAUUGAGGAAGGGUCUGCCAAAUAUGAUAGGACAAAAGCUAUCUUGUGCGGUAGCAAGAACGAGGAAAUCAGCAGGAUACUUUGUUUUACCACACAAGCCUUCAACAUCCCUAACAAUUCCCACAGGGCAGAUAGUAUCUCUAUUGACAAGCUGAAUAGUGACAUCUAUAGGUUCUAUCUCAACAGGUGCAAUCUCAUAUUUAAUUUCAUCGUAUAAGGAUUGAGGUAUUGCACUAACACUAGCACCCACGUCACAUAAACCAUGAUAACAAUGAUCUCCUAUCUUAACAUAAACCACAUGCAUGCCAACAACAGGCCUAUGUUUGUCUCUAGCGUGAGGUUUAGCAAUUCUAGCAGCAUCUUCACAGAAGUGAAUAUCAUGUCCCUCAACAUCAUCGGACAGAAGAUCUUUGAUAAUAGCAAUGCUAGGUUCAACUCUAAUUUUCUCAGGGGGUGUAGGUCUUCUAAUGUAGCCUCUACGUAUCACAGUUGAAGCUUUAGAAUGAUCCUUUAUCCUAACAGGGAAAGGUGGUUUCUCAAUGUAAGCAUUGGGAACAAUAGGAUCAUUAUAGGCAAUGACUUUCUCUUCAACUGGAGUGAGUUUAACUACAUUGACUUCUAAAGGAGGAUAAUAUUUAAACCACUUAUCUUUGGGGAGAUCAAUAUGUGCAGCAAAUGAUUCACACAAUGAAGCUACUAUCUCAAAGUCAAGUCCAUACUUAGCGCUAAAGUCACAAAACGUAUUUGUCUCAACAAAGGAUUUAACGCAAUCAAACUGGAAAUUCAUACCUGACUCCUUACCUUCUUCAAGCUCCCAAUCUUCAGAGUUGCGUUUAAUUCUCUCCAAUAAAUUCCAUUUGAAGUCAAUAUCUCUCUUCAUAAAAGAGCCGGUACAAGAAGUGUCAAGCACGGUGCGAUCAUCAUGAGAAAGCCGAGCAUAGAAGUUCUGAAUGAUAAUUUCUCUCGAGAGCUCAUGAUUGGGGCAUGAAUAUAGCAUUGAUUUAAGCCUCCCCCAAGCUUGAGCGAUGCUUUCUCUGUCACGAGGCCAAAAAUUAUAAAUAUAAUUCCGAUCACGAUGUACUAAAUGCAUAGGAUAAAACUUUUGAUGAAAUUCCAAUUUCAACCGAUUGUAGUCCCAUGAUCCAAUAUCACCACAUAGCCUAUACCAUGUCAACGCCUUAUCCUUCAAAGAUAAAGGAAAGACCUUCUUCUUGACCUCAUCCUCGGGCAAACCUGCAAGCUUAAAUAAACCACAAACUUCAUCUACAUAGAUUAGAUGCAAGUAUGGAUGUGAUGUUCCAUCUCCUCUAAAAGGAUUAGAUAGCAGUUUCUCAAGCAUACCCGAAGGAAAUUCAAAGCAAAUAUUUUCAGUAGGUGCAACAGGUUGAGGAGCAACUCUUUGUACUUCUGUUUGAGGUGAAGAUACCUCGAACAAGCCCCUCAAAGGAUUAGUAUCCAUAGUGACAAGUGACAAUAAAUUUCAGCACACUAUAUGAAUGUUUCCUUACCAAGAUCAACUUACCAAAGGCGCUUCACUCCCCGGCAACGGCGCCAGAAAAGAGUCUUGAUGACCCACAAGUAUAGGGGAUCAAUCGUAGUCCUUUCGAUAAGUAAGAGUGUCGAACCCAACGAGGAGCAGAAGGAUCUGACAAGUGGUUUUCAGCAAGGUAAAAUCUACAGGCACUGAAAUUGUCGGUAACAAGUGAUUGUGUGGUGAGAUGAUUCAUAGCAAGCAACAAGUAACAAAAGUAUCAACAGUGCAGCAAAGUGGCCCAAUCCCUUUUGUAGCAAGGGACAAGCCUGGACAAAUUCUUAUAAGAGGAAAAACGCUCCCAAGGACACACGGGAAUUUCUGUCAUGCUAGUUUUCAUCAUGUUCAUAUGAUUCGCGUUCGUUACUUUGAUAGCUUGAUAUGUGGGUGAACCAGCGCUUGCGUACUGCCCUUACUUGGACAAGCAUCCCACUUAUGAUUAACCCCUCUCGCAAGCAUCCCCAACUAUGAAAGAAGAAUUAAGACAAAGUCUAACCAUAGCAUUAAACUAGUAGAUCCAAAUCAGCCGCUUACGAAGCAAUGUAUAAACUAGGGUUUAAGCUUCUGUCACUCUAGCAACCCAUCAUGUACUUACUACUUCCCAAUGCCUUCCUCUAGGCCCAAAUAAUGGUGAAGUGUUAUGUAGUCGACGUUCACAUAACACCAGUAGAGGAAAAACAACAUACAACACAUCAAAAUACCGAACGAAUACCAAAUUCACAUGACUACUAUUAGCAUGACUUAUCUCAUGUCCUCGGGAACAAAAGUAACUACUCACAAAGCAUAAUCGUAUUCAUGACCAGAGAGGUAAUGAGUAGCAUCAAGGAUCUGAACAUAAACUCCUCCACCAAACAAUCCAACUAGCAUCAACUACAAAGAGUAAUCAACACUACUAGCAACCUUACAAGUACCAAUUGGAGUCGCGAGAUGGAGAUUGGUUACAAGUGAUGAACUAGGGUUUGGAGAUGAGAUGGUGCUGAUGAAGAUGUUGAUGGUGACGAGUCCCCUCCGAUGAGAGGAGUGUUGGUGAUCACGAUGGCGACGAUUUCCCCCUCCGGGAGGGAAGUUUCCCCGGCAGGAUCGUCCUGUCAGAGCUCUAGAUUGGUUCUGCUCAUGUUCCGCCUCGUGGCGGCGGCGAAUCCACGAAAAAGCUCCUCCCUUAUUUUUUUCUGAACGAAACCCUUCAUAUAGCAGAAGAGGUGGGCCAGUGGGACAGCAGGCUGCCCACAAGCCCCCUUGGCGCGGCCUGGGGGGUCGCCGCGCCGUGCAGGCUUGUGGCCACCUGCUGGCGCCCCUCUGACGCUUCUUCGGCCCAGUAUUUUUUAUAAAUCAGGAAAAAAUUCCUCGUUGAUUUUUACGGCGUUUGGAGUUGCGCAAAAUAGGUAUCUCAACUUUGCUCCUUUUUCAGGCCAGAAUUCCAGCUGCCGACAUUCUCCCUCUUCAUGUAAACCUUGCAAAAUAAGAGAGAAAGGCAUAAGUAUUGUACUGUGAAGUGAAAUAACAGCCCAAGAAGCGAUAAAUAUCAACAUGAAAACAUGAUACAAAAUGGACGUAUCAGUGCACUUAGCGUGCUCCCACUGGAUUCAAAACUCAACUAGAUUAGCUCUGGUUGAGUUUGAACAGCAAAAAAAGAAAAGCCUCUAUUGAUUAAGACCACUGCCAGUGCAAGCACUCGACAACGGUCUCGGGGUCUUCACCUAGUGGGUUCACUCGGAGUGACCCCACUGGAACACAAAUGAAACAAAGACAAUUCUACAAAAAGCAACCCCGAGUGGGUGUGAGUCGGAACUCAAACUUACGGUCGAACUUACUCGGACGUUUUCUUGAAGCAUCACGCUGUUGUUGUACACCGAGACGAUGGCGUCAUAGGCUCGUUUUGCUUGCUGCAUCAUCAACCCUGCCUGGAUCAUAACCUCCUUGGCGGCACCAGUCUGAUCUUCAGGAACACGUCGUGUGGCAUACACAGUCGCGGGAGACAUCAAUCCCGAGGCCGUAGCAGAAACAACUGGAGCGCUUGAUUGCAACCCAAUCGGGGUCGUGGUGACAACGAUUGAACUAACAGGCGGAGCACUCACUACGGCCAUUGUCGCCACGGACACCUUGGACACAACAGGGUCCACCGCAGCAGUUGAUUGCCUUUGAUCGUCGUUGUCUAGCUGGAUGACCUCUCUUGCAGCAGGCGCGGCUGGCACACAGAAACAUCAGAAGUUACAAUCAGGAAAACAUACACACGGAAGGAUGACACGGAAGGGAAAAUAAGUUAUACCUAGCUGUGAGGUGGCUGCAUCUGCAGUAUCAACUCAUACGUCUCCGUCGUAUCUACUUUUACGAACUCUUUUGCCCUUGUUUUGGACUCUAAUUUGCAUGAUUUGAAUGGUACUAACCCGGACUGACAUUGUUUUCAGCAGAAUUGCCAUGGUGUUGUUUUUGUGCAGAAAUAAAAGUUCUCGGAAUGUCCUGAAAAUUUACGAAGAAUUUUUCUGGAAUAAAAUAAAAAUACCUGCGCAAAGAUCCACCGGAGGGGGCGUGCCAGUGGGCCACAAGCCCCUGGGCCGCGGCCACCCCCCUAGGUCAUGCCGUGAGGGCUUGUGGGGCCCACGUGGCACCACCACCCCCAAACUCAGCUCUAUAUCUUCCGUCUCGCCCACGGAAAAAAUACAGAGAGAAGGUUUCAUCGCGUUUUACGAUACGGAGGCGCCACCACCUCCUGUUCUUCAUCUGGAGGGCAGAUCUGGAGUCCGUUCGAGGCUCCGGAGAGGGGAAAUCGUCGCCAUCGUCAUCAUCAACCUUCCUCCAUCGACAAUUCCAUGAUGCUCUUCACCGUUCGUGAGUAAUCUCAUCGUAGGCUUGCUGGACGGUGAUGAGUUGGAUGAGAUCUAUCAUGUCAUCGAGUUAGUUUUGACGGUGAUUGAUCCCUAGUACCCACUAUGUUCUAGAUUGAUGUUGCUACUACUUGGCUAUGCUUAAUGCUUGUCACUAGGGCCCGAGUGCCAUGAUUUCAGAUCUGAACCUAUUAUGUUGUCGCCAAUAUAUGUGUGUUUUAUAUCCUAUCUUGCAAGUUGUAGUCACCUACUAUGUGUUAUAACCCGGCAACCCUGGAGUGACAAUAGCCGGAACCACUCCCGGAGAUGACCAUAGUAUGAGGAGUUCAUGUAUUCACCAAGUGUUAAUGUGUUGGUCCGGUUCUUUAUUAAAAGGAGAACCUUAAUAUCCCGUAGUUUCCAUUAGGACCCCGCUGCCAGGGGAGGGAUGGACAAUAGAUGUCAUGCAAGUUCUUUUCCCUAAGCACGUAUGACUACAUACGGAAUACAUGCCUACAUUAGAUUGAUGAACGAGAGCUAGUCACAUAUCUCUCCAUGUUAUAGAUGUUACAUGAUGAAUCACAUCUGUCAUACUCAUCCAUCACCGAUCCACUGCCUACGAGUCUUUUACUACUGGUCCUUGCUACAUUACUUUGUCCAGGCUUGUCCCUUGCUACAAAAGGGAUUGGGCCACUUUGCUACUACUGUUGCUACUGUUGUUCCUUGCUACUUUGCUAUUACUUGUUGUAAGACUUUUUCGACACCGUUGCCGGGGAAGAAUAGUUCCCCGUCCACGUUCUCUUUACUGGCACCACUGAUACAACAGUUAGGAAUACCUGCCGUCAACAGAUCUGUUUCUGACACCGUUGCUAUUAUACUACUUUGCUACUAAUACUUUGCUUGCAGACACUAAUCUUUCAGGUGUGGUUGAAUCUGACAAACUCAGCUGCUCAUAGAAUAUUCUUUCGCUUCCCCUUGUGGCGAAUCAACAAAUUUGGGUUGAAUACUCUAUCCUCGAAAACUAUUGCGAUCCCCUACACUUGUGGAUUAUCAUCAACCUCCAUGAGAUCUUCAUCCCCUCGCGGCGGCGACGUGACAGAAGUAGCAGCUCUGUCAAGGCAAUCUCAAUCGAUCAUCAUCAACCAAAAUGUUCACUCGGAUAAGAGUAUAAUAUCAAGUACUUACGCGGAGGUGACUGGAACGGCAAUCCUCAUCCUAUGCACGGCCUUCCGAGACUUAGGUCUGCUGGGCUUGGGCACCUUCGUAGGCUGUUCUACUGGUUCUCCACACGAUCCCUAACGCGCUUGACACUCCUGCCACUCGAUGCCGAAGGUUUACCUGGAGUACCAGCGGGGUCAUGACGCUGUUUGGUCCGGGGCUCAAGGCGAGAAGGAGAUGAAUCUUCCUCCUCGCUCUCCUCCGACUCCUCUUCCUCGGUCUCUUCCCUGUCGUCGACAUAGUCCUCGCUCUCCACACUGUCCUCCAUGCUCCCCUCGUUAAGAUCGAGUGUGUUGCCAUUCGGGAAUGCAAGUUCGUCCAGCCCUGCAAGAUACAAUCCACGAUCUCAGUCAACAAGGAAAUUGCAAGCACUCGGUUCAAACACAAAAGUAUUCGGCGGAGCAGAACUAACCUUGUUUGUCAGCGGGUUUUCGGCUGAGAAGGGCAAGAUCCUUUUCGCCCCCAUUGGGUUAUCGCAAGGAUCGGCUAUUCCGCGGAUCCACUUUGUUAUUGUGUCUUCGUUUACUUCCUCAGGAUGAGACCGAGUGGAAUCCUUAGGACCGGUGUAGUGCCACAUAGUGUGGUACCGAGCCUAGAGAGGCUGGAUGCGUCUACCAAGGAAGGUCUCUUAAAAGAUCCAUUCUUGUCACUCCAUUGCGGACCAGACCAAUCAGCACUUUGACCAAGGGAUCCACCUGAGUUUUCUCCUCCUUCGUCAACCCUAAUGUCCUCGGGGCACUCCGUAACUCUAGAGUAAAGGGAGGGAGUCCACUCGACAUGUUCGGGCAAGCAACAUCGUUACAGUAAAACCAAGUGGCUUGCCAGUUACGAACCGACUCCAAAAAGGUCAUGGCAGGAUAGCUACUUUUGGCUCUCUUCUGAAGCCCUAAACCCCCACACAACUGGAUGACAUGAGUCUUGUCAUUAGUCGGAUUAACUUUCUUCACCGACUGAGAUCUCAUGGUGAAGAUGGACUUAAAGAGUCUCCAGUGAGGAGGACACCCCAAGAAACACUCAGACAAGGUGAUAAAGCAAGAGAGAUGUGCAAUGGCAUUCAAAGGAAAAUGAUGCAACUCUGCACCAAAGAAGUUCAAAAAAAAACCGAAUGAAAAGAUGGGGUGGCAGAGAGAAACCUCUUUUGAUGUGGGUCAGGAGGAGAACCCGUUCUCCCUCCCGCGGCUUGGGCUCGACUUCAUCUCCAGGAAGCCUCCAAGACUUGUCCGCCAACAUGCCAUGUUCGACAAGCUCGAGGAGAUCCUCCUCCCGCACAGUGGAUCGGAGGAAAUCCCCUUGGAUCCAACCCGGCGGCAGAGCUUGCUUCUUCGACUUGGCGACGCCCUUCUUCUUCGCCUUCUCCAACUUGCCGAUCUUCCCUUUUGUCAUAGUGGUAGCGGUGAGAUUGGUUGCUUCGGUUUGCGUUGGUGGCUAAGGAGAAGGAAGAGCCGGCGAGAGGAAGAAGAUGAUGUCGUUCCAAACCCUAACGCUGGAGCUUUUUAUAACCAGUCGAAUGGGUCACUAGCAAGUGGGCCCUCGACCUAUCUCUCCGCAGGCCACCGCAAGAUAUGUGGCGGAGAUUGAGGCGCGGGAAUCGAGGUGACGGCAUCCACUUGAUGGCGAUGACGUCAUCGCCGCGUAUCGCGCGGCAACCGAAUUUUUCAAAUCCCAAAAAAUCCAGAACUGACAGGGUGAUUGGUCACAUCAAAAGAUCCUGCGAGGCGCGCCAUUUCGUUUGCUCACUCGAAUCUUCAAAUCCACUCUGAUAUUUUGUACCAAGCAGAAUCGAUCAAGGCGAAUGACGAAGAUCGCAAUCGACAUCCAAUUCGGCGAAACUUUGAAGAGCAUUCAAAUUCAGUCUGCUAUACCAAAAUUUAUAGUCACGCCUUCAUCACUCGAACCUCGAUCCAUUCGGGGGCUAAUGAUGGGGUUAUAGCCCUAGGGUAGGGUCAUAGGCCUGGCCUAUAAGUCCUAACCAAGGGCACCUCAUUAUUAGGUUGAGGAUCACAAUAUACUUACCGACUGGAUUAAGACGAUCUCUGAUCCACUCGGUAAAGAACAACUCUGAGUGUUAUUUUAUACUCGACGACUGGAUUUCACUCGGUGAAGAUCAGAAGUCAGUCGACAUAGAAGGCCAGAAGCCACUCCAGCGAAGCUAACGGUCAGACGUUAGACUACUGUAGUUAAUGACAUUUAUGGCAUACGUUACCUGUAACGUAUGCAUUCAAUCUCACUUAUAGCACCCUUGAAGGCCGGACACUUAUGAUGGACAGCGCACUCUAUAUAAGCCACCCCUCCCCUCUGGCACAAAGGUACGCAUUCUGUAACAUUCAUAUUCCACUCGACACUAAAGCUCCAGAGCACUGAGACGUAGGGCUGUUACGUCCACCGCAGAGGGGUCUGAACUAAUACAACCUUACCGUAGCUAGGACUCUGUCCUCUACUUUCCUACCCUACACAUCUACUGUCAAGCUUAUACCCACGACACACGUGCCCGGUCCGCGACCGUAUAAGGAUGGGAAUUACACAGUUCAGUUCGAGAUGGUCUGAGCAUAGACCAAGAAAAUGUAUCGAUAUAGUCCAUAUGAAGCCAGGCUUUGAGCAUGCCCGAGUAAUCCUGAGCGUUUGGUUAUUUUGGUUAUUUUGAUUCGGGUAGUUCAAUUUAUGGAUAAUGCGGGUAUUAAAAAAUGAGAACGGAAAUUGUUUCUGUCAGAAAAAUACACGAACCCAAAUUACCGGAAAUUUCGAUUGAGGUUAUUCGGGUACCCCAAAAAACAAAAUAUUCGAAGCACAUAUUAACUUUUGAUAUGAAUAAUUCAGAUUAUAUGGGUAAUAGUUGAGUGUAAUAAUAGUAUGGGUAUUUCGGGUUUUGCACACUGAAACCCAAACUCUAACCCGAAAAUCAAAUAGCAAGAAAAUAAAAACCUAACCCUAACCUGAUACUUGAAUUAUCCAACAUUUUAGAUAAUUCGGUUUGUUCGGAUUCGAAUAGCAGAUUCGGGUAUCCAAAUGCUUAGGCUCCGUUUGGCAUCAGUGUAUUUUUAUACACAUGUAUAUAUUUUACAGGGGUAUUAUAGCGAUCUUAAUUGAUUUUCGUUUGUAAAAACUGAUGCAUCUAGAUCUGUAUAAUUUUUACACGUGUAUGACUUUGUGAAACGCCAAUCCAAUCGGAGCCGUAGUGUGAUGUCCCAGAAUCUGGCUGUGAACCGGCACUUAAAGAGUAAGGGGGUGUUUGUUUCCAGGGACUAAAAAAAUCCCAAAAAGUCUCAUGUGAAACAAACAGGAGGGACUUUUAGGGACUAAAGUGGGGUGUUUGGGACUAUUUGGAGAAGUACCUGUGGGAGGGACUUUUUGGGACUUUUUCCUACCGUGCCCCGCAUCGCGUCGCGUCUCUAGCCUUAUCCGCUCGCUCGUCCUGCGAGCCGCUCGCGUCUCCCACCAGCCGCUCGCGCUCGCCUCUCCCACCAGCCGCCGCCGCCGCCAGUUCCCUCAGCCGCCGCGGCCAGUGCCCUUGUCCCUUCCCCUGCCGCUGCCAGUGCGCUCGGCCGCCAGCAGUUCCCUCGGCCGCCGCAGCCAGUGCCCUCGGCUGCCGCCGCCAGUGCCCUCGUCCCUUCCCCUCCCGCUGCCAGUGCGCUCGGCCGCCGCUGCCAGUCCUCUCGGCCGCCGCAGCCAGUGCCCUCGGCCGCCGCCGCCAUGGAUGAAGACGACGAGACGCAGCUCCCCUCUCUGUUCCGCUCGCAUCAACCGGCAUCCCAGGGCUCCUCCGCCGACGGCAAUCUGAGAAGGGGAUUCGGUUUUUUUGAUCUGAAUAGCAACGUGGAUGACUUUCCCGAUUUGGGCUCCUACCAGCAGCUUCUCCUUGACGAACAAGCCGUCCAUGAUCCUCCUUCGGCUAGCCCUGGUCGUGGUAGGGCUGUGUCUCAGGGAGGAGGAGGCUUGACCCGGUCUGUGAGCAUCAGCAGCGCUCACAUACGUCCAUUCGUCGCCCCUGCCGCAGCUUCCGUUGGUGGAGGCUUCAGAGGGCGUGGGAGGCCCUUGUUCGGUUGUUAUGAACAAGUGUUGUUCGAUUCUGUAAUAUUUGCUUAUGAACAAGUGUUAUGAACAAGUGUUGUUUGCUUCUAUAAUCUUUCAUUAUGAACAAGUGUUGUGAACAAGAGUUCUUUGCUUUUGUAAUAUUUGCUUAUGAACAAGUGUUAUUUAAUAAUCUGGUCAGGGGUAACAUGGUCUUUUUACAUGUCAUUUAAUGACCUUUAGUCCCUCGAAACAAACGGAUAGAGACUAGGGAAUUUUAAGUUAGGACUAAAAAAAGUCUCAGGACUUUUGAAACAAAGCCUAAAUGGUCGACGGUUUCUCCCUCAUGCCGGCCGGGCGGCACACCGCACAUGGCCUACUGUCUGCUCCUGCUAUAAGACGCGCGAUCGAUCGGUGGAUGCACGGGCCGAAACGGGGAAACCGUGCGCGUAACAUAGCGCGGAGUGUGCGUCCCCCGCGCCGUCACUGAUCGAGUGGCGGUGCAAGGCCAGCACAAAACACACGCACGCUGUGUGUGUCGUCGACGGAAAAUUCUCCGGGCACAGGGAAUCGUAGCCUGCGUGGUAAGUGGUGACAGCACCCCGCGUGCAUGGCUCUCAAGGAACGGACGCGAGGCUGCGUGGUAGGUGUGGCCGGACGUGUCCGUGUGGGGCUACAUCGCGCAUGCGUACGUCUCGAGUGCUUUGCGUCAGGCACAUGCACACAUGCAGCAAACGAACCGACGCGCGUACGUGCCGAGUGCUUUGCGUCAGGCACAUGCACAUGCAGCAAACGAACCGAACCGAAACGAAACGAAACAGGUACGGCACGUAGCAGACGCGAUCGAGCUAGCUACGUGUUCAUACGUGUAUCGGUCACUGGAUGGUCGGUGUGUGUGUUGUAUGUAUAACCUGGUCGGCUAAAUUCUUAGUACGUAGUAGUACGUCGUGGCAGUUGAACUGCCUAACGUCCAUCCAGCACACCAACGCAUGCUGUUAAACCCAUCUCUUGGUCACCAAUUCAUCGUCCAAAUAUAGGAGCCAAAGCAACCGGGACGGACGAGUGAAUCAAAAUCGGCGACGACCAGACCAACAACAACAACAACAACGUGCGAUGACGGACGAUCGAUCUCGCUCCGUGACAAAAGAAAAAAUAUCGUGGCAACGAAUUACUAGAACGCGACGACAGGCAACAACCCACGUGGUCAGGAACCGCACGAACGGUGAGGAACGCGUGCACGAGCCGGGGUGCGCCACGCGGGCCCUCGAGCGCCCUCCGCCGCUAAUGCUAAUUGCUAAACCCGUCUCGGCAUCUCGCGCCCCGGCUGAAGCACAUCGGCCGGUUGGCACCGCACCAACGGUCGCGAGGCCGGGAGGAGGACGACCCCUCCGACAGCGGAGGGCCAACCUCGGAUACGCCGGACAGCGACACGCCGGCGAGCCAGCGUCGUUCGCUCCAGGCUCCAGAGCAUGCAUGGUCCUGGACCCGGACGACGCAGAGUACGCUCCAGGCGGGCUUGCCUCGAAGUUUCGUCCGGCCAGUUCGCGAGCUGGGUAGGUGGCGUUGCGUUGUGAGAUCCUUCGUCUCCCCCAGCCGACGGCUCAAAACCGUGGUCAGAUUCAUGCCGUCAUUGCCGGCGGCAUGCAUGGAUUUGACAACCAUGUCCAUGCGCAUGCGGUGGUUGAGAGGGUUUUGUACCCUUGCUGCCUUUGCUGGUCCGGUGAGGCAAUUUCCUUCUGAAAAAUCCAGCAACUUUCGAAAUCGACGGUGCAAAACACUGGUACCAAGGAAAAGUCAGACACAUGCGGCUUAUUACAGUACUUCCUCCAUUUUAAAAUAUAAUACAUUUUAAAGAUUACACUAGAAAACUACAUACGAAGCAAAAUGAGUGAAUCUACGUUCUAAAAUAUGUCUAUAUACAUAUGUAUGUAGUUCAUAGUGCAAUAUCUAAAAGUUUUGUAUUUAGGAACGGAAGGAAUACAACUGAGGAACAGGCUGCUACACUGAGGGUGACCCCCGGUCUUCAUAGAUCAACGGAUGGAAACUCCACUCGUUCCGAAUAGAACAACUAUAUUGACGUUGCUAGGCCAUUUCUUUUGUCAAUUUUUUAAACGUGCAGAAUAAUAGUAUUAGGAGUACAAGGCAUGCAUGAGUGUUGCAGGCUCACGCUUUGUUGUAAAGUCAAACGCACCAUUCUGACUAGAAGCACGCGAAGCAGGUAAAGAGGUUUGGCUAGAGAUUUCCUGAAAAAAUAAUGUCCUUUCGAUUCAUAAUAAGACGGGCUAAUUCUGUUCUUGACCUUUGGAGUGGGGACAACAACCGAUGCUAAUACCUCCCUGUCUACGAAGCAGCAAAAGAAAUCCACCCAAAGAGGCCACUUGCACGGCGGUUUAGGGUUAUCUAGUCCGUGAAACAAUAGUUUAUAAGGCGAUGAUUAGUAGGUCAUAUGAGAGGAUGACCAACCAUGGGACUGAGGCUCUGUUUGAAACCAUAAUAGAUUAUAAUAAUCUAGAUUAUGAACAUAGAUUAUAUAAUAUGGUUUAUAUAAAUAAUCUAGGUGGGCAUGUUUGGAGGACAGAUUAUAUAAACUGUAAACCAGCUUUUAAAUUGUACAAUGACAUGUUUGCCCUUAGUUUACAAGGAAAAAUAAAAAAGUGGCGGUGGCACUGCGUAAUUCUCUUAAAGUUUACAAGGAUAACACGUCAUUUGUAAUCCAUAAUCUCAUUUUAGCUGGGGUAGAGGAGAUUAUGAGAUUAUAAUAAUCUGAUCAUCUAGUUUAUAAAAUCUACAAUAUAAAUUGUCCUGUUUGGAAAUACAAUAGAUUAUAAAAACCAGAUUAUAUAAUCUGGGUGGUUCCAAACAGGGCCUAAGCUCGGCGGCUAUUACAUCUCAUUUUCUACCAAGGAGUGGCUCUUUCGAUUUCUAAAGCUUGGUAUAUAACAAAGGACAUUUGCAGGUGUCUUUUGUCGGUUUAGUGUUCUUGUUUUUUUGCGCGUAAAGUUUUUUUUUAAUGCUCCAACAAAAGGCUUAUGAUAAAAAAAAAGCAGCUAGUAUGUUUUUUAUGUGAUUUUAUUUUUCUAUUGUUCGUUUGUGCCUUGUCUUUUCGUUGUACUGUAUAUUAUUUCCCUUGAUGAUCACUAUUAGAUAUUAAAAGCCAUUCAAUGUAUUUAAAAAAUCAUCUCUAUUUUUAUUUCAUAUAUAAAUAAUCCUAUUCAUUUUCAAGUGAUAUAUAAAUUAUAUAGCUAGAAGGUAUGGAAACGAACAAAACUACAAAAGUAUGCUCUGAUUUACAUCAAUGGAUUUCCUCUCGCUACUUCUACAAUGAGAAAGGCAUUCACCUCACUUUAUAAGUAAAGCCACAACCCAACUUACAUCGAUCAUUACAACAAGGAAAAAAAGAAUACAACGAAGAUACAUGAUAUCGAAGGAGCCACUAACAAGGUCUGAAUGGACCAAGGACAAGCUUGUAGAUCAAGGCCCUUCGUGAACUAAGAUCAUGCAAUCGAUAUGACCAAAAUAAGGUAGCACCCCGUCACUAGAGGAAAACCACACUCCAUCAACUCACAUGAGGCCAUCAUAGAUGUUUUGGCAAAGAAGGCCCCAUGCCGCCUUGUCUUGGAUCGAAGGAAGACGCACCUGUCGGCAGGUAAAGCCACUCACCCUCGAGCUCAUAUGACCUGGACCAACGGGUUGUGAGGGAGAGGAUGACCAGCACAACAACCUCACCUUGCAAUGCAGCACCCUGUGCAUCACCAUGCCUCUCACAAGGACCAACGUCAACCGCAAGCAGCCGAGCGGGACCUUCUCUCUAGAAUCCGGUAGUGUCCCACCAACACCGUAGUCCCGACCGACACUCUAGAGUCCCAAGGUGGCGUCUUCAAGAAGUUUAACGGCGUUGGAGCGUCGUCGCCACCUAGUCCGGAGAUUUUCGGGUUUUCACCCGGGACUCUGAGGUGGAGGGCAAGGUAGGAUCUCAAUGCCACAUACAGUAAGGGGAAUGAUGCCCAUGGCACCACCGUCAUCGUGGUGGUUGUAGCCAGCUAAGGGAUUCUCCCAAUCCACAACACCGUACCUCCCAUCCCCAUCUAGCCACUCGGUCAAGCCAAACAAGCAAGGGAGUAGUAAUGGGUAGUCGAGGCAGGAAGGGGAUCGAGGAAGGAGACCACCAUCUCAUAUCCGCUCCAAGGACCGACGAGGAGGCCCCGAGAGCAUGCUCCAUGUUUGUUACCGACCUGCUACCCGCGCGGCCAAGGGUGGUGCACCUCCGCAUCGCGCCCACAAUCCACUACCAUGCCUCUGGGCGUACCGCACGCACCAACCCACCACCACGGAGCCCUUCACACCGUAGUUGUUGUCUGUCGCAACGCCGCUGCACCCUCAACCAGUCCAGCACCACUCUCAUACCUCACCAGCCCAUGUAUGCCGCCAUCGAGCAGGGAAAGAGCGGCCCGACUGCUGCCGACGUCGACAGGGGUUCGCCCGUCAGCGCGAGCCGAUGACGGCGAUGGAAGGGAGAGAGGGAAAGGGGAGAGAUGUGCUGGCAGCUAGGGUUUCCCCUUCAGGAUACUCAUGGGAGUGAUACGGGUGGGGAGGGAAGGGGGAGAAGGAAGAGCAACCGUUUUCACUCCCCGCUACUACUAUGAGCUCAUAGGUGUCAACAAAGUUGCUAUAGUAAGAUGGAUGCUCAAGAACAAGCUUUGCUCACGGUGCGUCACCGAUAGAUAGAGAAGGAAGACGAAACCAAUUUCUUCAAUGACUUGUCUAUAAUUUUAUGUUCUUGUAAGAAACUCCUCGUAGGGACGUACCUUUAAGCCUUCUUGCUAAAAAAUAAAUAAAUAGAAGAGGAUAAAAAAUAAGAAUAUUCACAAGAUAUUCUAGUAUCAUAUUGCAGGAAAAUAGGAAACGAAUUAACGAAUAAACAAAAAAAAUGCAUCUAAAAAAGGUACUAAAACCAGUGGUGAAAAGAUCAUGAACUGGCCAAACCGCCUCCCUUCUCCUUCGCGCAUUCACCAUAAAUACCUUCUUCAUCCCCAUCUCCCCCUCCACCGUCACAAACCAGAGGCACAAAACCGCAGCAGGCGCAUACCACCGCAACACCCAGACAAACCCCAAGAAAUCACUAGCCGCGCCUCCCUCCGCCAAAAUGCUGGCCGCCGCCGCCGCCGCCUCCGUGAAGUUCUCCCCGGCGUCCGCCGGUACCGGUACCACAACCAAGUUGGCCUUCAAGCCUGUCCACCUCCCUCCCCUCCCCAACGCCGUCCGUCGUCCCCUCUCCCUCUCGGCGCGGCCUCUGUACCGCCAGGAGCCGUUCCUGGCGGCGACCCGCAACGACCGUGCCGCGUCAAUGGCGCCCCCUGCAGCCACCGCGGAUGGCGCGCGGCCGGUGGAGACGGCGGCCGCGCCGGAGGCCGCGAAGAGCGCCAAGAUCGGGGUCUACUUCGCCACGUGGUGGGCGCUGAACGUGAUCUUCAACAUAUACAACAAGAAGGUGCUGAAUGCGUUCCCGUACCCGUGGCUCACGUCGACCUUGUCCCUGGCCGCCGGCUCCGCCAUCAUGCUCGUGUCCUGGGCCACCAGGAUCGCCGAGGCGCCCCAGACGGACCUCGAUUUCUGGAAGGCUCUCUCUCCGGUGAGCGUGCGCAUGCGCAUGGUUUCUCGGCGCGCCCUCUUCUUGCCAAUCUCACCGGCCUGUACGUGUUCUAGAUGUGCUGAUGCCCGUGUAUCGGGAUUUCUUUAUUUUUUGUGUCCGUGCAGGUGGCGAUUGCGCACACGAUCGGGCACGUGGCGGCGACGGUGAGCAUGGCGAAGGUGGCCGUGUCGUUCACGCACAUCAUCAAGAGCGCGGAGCCGGCCUUCAGCGUGCUCGUCUCGAGGUUCUUCCUCGGCGAGCACUUCCCGUUGCCGGUUUACUUCUCCCUCCUCCCGAUCAUAGGUGGAUGCGCUCUCGCCGCCGUCACCGAGCUCAAUUUCAACAUGAUUGGUGAGCAAUCUGCAGACUCCCAUUUUGUUGAAUCUUGAAAUUACCUCCAGCAGAUACUCAUCACUACAUAAGAAAUAUCGUCACUUUUGCUAGUACACAAGAGAUAUUUUUCAGUAGUACUCCACUUCCGAUUUCCGAAGAACCUGAACUGUCCACAAAUCCUGAGGUCUAUAAUUUAGCACGUAUUAUAUACCAAAACCUUUUACCUUUGAUAUCAAAAUUGGACAACGUUGUAGGUGGAUUAAUUGAAGGAUAUAUAGAUUUUGUUUGACAUUGUUAAUUUUGAUAGCACGUGUGUUGAAUUCACUAUAGGAUUCAUGGGGGCGAUGAUCUCCAACCUGGCUUUCGUGUUCCGUAACAUAUUCUCCAAGAAGGGGAUGAAGGGCAAGUCGGUGAGCGGGAUGAACUACUAUGCCUGCCUCUCCAUGCUGUCCCUGGUGAUCCUCCUCCCUUUCGCCUUCGCCAUGGAGGGCCCCAAGGUGUGGGCUGCAGGCUGGCAGAAUGCAGUCGCCGAGAUCGGUCCCAACUUCGUCUGGUAAGCUCCAUCACGUGACUGCUUGCCAGUUCGCUGUCAUAAGUUCACAACUACCAUGCCAGUUUUGUUAAUGAACUUUGGAGACCAACUAUAGCAUAGCAGUACAGCAUUCGCACUUCAGAACUGACACUAGUUCAUUCACACAAGACCGAGAUUUGGAUAGUCUCUGUGAUAAUUCAGUUGGUUCAUGUGUAUGAAUGGAUUCCUCUCUUGCUUGUAGGUGGGUGGCGGCGCAGAGCGUGUUCUACCACCUGUACAACCAGGUGUCGUACAUGUCGCUGGACGAGAUCUCGCCGCUGACAUUCAGCGUGGGCAACACCAUGAAGCGUAUCUCGGUCAUCGUCGCGUCCAUCAUCAUCUUCCGC
rnacentral:lncRNA from 1 species